rnacentral:lncRNA from 1 species
GGUGUUUGGGUAAAUGAUGCCCUCCCUCUUAAAGCUCUGAUUCUUCAUAUGCUUGGGUUCAAAGGAUUUUUUUAAUAGAAGAACGAAGAGGCAGAAAGUGAAUGUUACAGAAGAAAGUCCUUGCGAUGAACAUAGAAGCCAUCAGGGCACUUAAGGAGCCAUAUCAGCAUCUCUGACAUUGUUUGUUAACUGAAGGGGGGUGAUUGAACUAACUUGAAUAGUCUUCAAAGGCAUGAACUAUUUUGGAAUUUUAAUAAUUUGAGACUAGGUUAACAUUCUUCAACAAUUUUAGGGGCUAAAAUAGCCUCUGUUUUAUUUUUUUAUGACAAGUUCCAAAUGAGGGAAUUGACAUCCAAAUCCAGUUACUUCAAUGUAAAGGACAUCCUAUCAAAUCUAAUCGAACCAAUUUCGUAUUGAAUGAUUUCAAACACAACAGUUAAUAUGUGCACUCUUAAUGCGAGUGUUUCUAUCAAAUUCAAACCCAAUGGUUAAAAUAACCGACAUUUUUUUCAUAGAUCAUAGGACAAAUGGUUCACUCUAUUCUCGGUAAGAUAUGUAAGACUCAUUGCUUAGUGCAAAUUCAAUGGAUUCAUUUUCUAUUUCCCAACGGGCUCUCAUACCUGUUAUCCUCGCCUAUCUAAACCACUUAUGUUUGUGGGGAAAAAAGGCAGCAGGAAAUGUCUUAUGAUACGCAAGUGACUUCAUAAUUUAUGUAUACCAUAUUGAGAUCUGGCAGUUUCUUGAAAUAUUAUAUUCACGAGAAAACAGAAAUGCACUUUAUGUUUUCAUUAUAAGAGUGUAGUAGAACAAAAAAUGUCAUGCUGGUUAAAUUUACUCUUAUUUUAAUAGUAGCUGUUCUAAGAACUUAAGACCCAAUGUUAUAUAAAGUGAAUGAAACUGCAUUGUGACGGUCUGAUACCUUUAAACUAGAUAAAAACUAGUUGCUGGGCUCAGAAAAUAACACACUACAUUCUAAAGAAGGAUAAAAAUCUGGUUUUUGGGCCAGGUUUGAGCACAAAGACAAAAUAUCCCCCUAACAUGGAGCUUCCUCCUCCAACACAGGAAAUUGACACCUUAAUUUCCUUUUACUAACGGGACUUUCCAAAGCUCUUACAAAGAAACUCUAAUUGGAAGCUCUAUAGCUGUUGCAACUAUACUACAAAUAUAUUCCAAGAGAUACCAUGUGCUAGCUGAGAACAACAAUUACUGCAAUUAUAUUAAAAAUCAAACUGUUUUUAGGAUAUUCUCCCCCACAGAAGUGGUAAGGCAAUGUGUUUUUUGUACAGAACUUCAGAAGUUUGUGUGAAUCAGGAGCAUUAUUUAUAUUCAAUUCAGUAUUCAAGAUUACAUAUUAAAUUAAAGAAGUAGACCUGGUUCAAAUGAAAAUCUACUAAGAAUAUUCUUUACACUGGGUUUGUACUCUUAGAAUUUGGGUUUGGACUUAUUCUUACAAAACUAACUUGUAAGAUGAAAUUAUUCUCCAUUUAUACAUUAUACUUUUAUUGUAUCUCUAAAUGAUGUGAUAUCUCCAACAAGUACAAAGUUCAAAAUAAAGGCAGUUUGACUUCAAUCAUAUAUAUAUUCAAAGAAGAAAUACCUGUGGGACCACUAUUGCCAGAUUCAGGACACCCAUUGAUAACCCUGCAAAUACCAGCAAUCCAUAUGAAUAGUUCGUCAUGCACGUAUUCAAGAAGUAAAAACAAUGGAAUGAAUAGAGGUCAACCUUGGCCAAGUCCCAAAGACUCAAUAUGUGUGGAAAUUAAGGCAUACGGAACACUGUAAGUGAUCUGCAAUAAAUAAUAUUAAUCAAACAAUAUUUGACAUCGUUUACAAAUUUCUAUUUCUAAGAACAAGUUAUACUAAAAUAAAAUGUAUCACAAGGGUUCCCCCCCAAAAAAAUAAGAGGUUAUACAAGAUUGGACAGUGUGAGCCAAAGGAGAUUGCACAGCAAAAGCAAAUCAAAUAAUAUAAUUCAUAUGUAUUAGCAACAUAUUCAAUGUUGAUAGGAAAGGAACAAUACGCUUUGUGGAGUAGUGUAGGGAAACUUACUGCCAGUGGAAACCCAAGAAUGGUAAAGAUAAUCAACGCAGCUAUCACAAUGCCAGGUGGAGGUAGAUCUUUGCCUGCAUAGCCUAUGUUACUUGCCACAUAGGUUAAUACUAACAUUGCAAGAAAGCAAAAUGUCAUCACGAGAUUUGAGAUUCCCCACACAAAACCAGCCCCCCUCUUCCUGCAUAACCUUUCCAUGAGCAAUGAUGUUAAUGCAAGAACAACUGAAUUAAGCAACAAACCAAGUGCUCCCAUUCUAACUCCAGCAUCAUAAGUAAGGCCUUGAUUUGGAUUACCACCAUAAAUCUCUCGACCCAUCCAAUCAGUAUCAAAUAGAGUAAAUGGAAACCACCCAAUCCAUGUGAGAGCAGUAACAGACAGAAUUAUCCACACAGGGGUUGAAAAAUAUUUUAAUGUCCCAAAUAAUUCCCACAUGAAAGCUUCUUCGGCACUACCUGACUCCUCGGCCCCAGCUUCAGCAUGGACUACCUCAUUAGAAUUUAGAGGCACUUCAUGAGCUGCCAUGAUGCUGAUAUAUGUUGUGACCGCAAUGAAACCAAUGUCAAGAAAGAAAGCAGACUUGAGAUUUGCACAACUAAUUGUGCAAGCAGGGGAAAGUGUAAAAGAAAAAAUCUUGUACCAACCACUGUAUGAUCCAGUUGCAUAGCCAAGAAUAUUACCAAUGGCCAUAAACAGUGAGUAAUAAGCAUUUGCAACGCGUGUCCUUCGAGGAUCCUUUCCUAACAUUCCAAAGAAGAUGAACAUUAACGUCUUGUUUUCCAAAUGGAUCACUCAUUUUCAUAUAAAGGAUGACAGACAUAAUGUAAACAUUGUGAUUUUUUUGGUUGAUAAGGGAACUGAGGGUUCACACGUGAUUCUCCCUCUCUCUCUCUGAAAUGAACAAAUGUCCAAAGUAACACUGAGGCAUAGAAAGAUGCAUAAUGUCUCAUGAAAUUUAUUCAGAAAAUUUAGGUCACUUUUGCAAAGCUAUUUAGGUCAUAUGUUAUAAAAUUAAAAGAUAAUUACUAUAUCCUUUUAAUUUAAUUGAGAACUGAAUUCAAUAGUAUGGCAGAAGAUCCUACGGGAAGUGGACCUACAGUUUUGGUCAAUACAGGAAAUUUAUUUUCAAAAAAGCCUGUUAUACCCCACCUUAUCAAUCACCCCAUGUGUUUAACAUAAUGAAACUACUUUUAAGUAAGUUCAUUAGCAGUUAUGAAUAGUUAGAGUACAGAUUCUGCUAUUUUGAUUAGUUGGUAGCAGCUUUCUCUUUCCUGUCACAGCAGCUUACAUUCUAUACAUGCAUGUACUUGUUAAAUAAAAGGUGUGAAAAACAUUUUUCUCAUUAUUCAACUUUCUUAGACACCUCUAAAUAGGACGACAUUUAUUCAGUAUUUUUGGAAUAGAAGCUUCAUUAUCUCAGGCUCUUAUCCCAUUAUAACAUCAGCAGAUAUCCCAUAAUUUAAUAUGGUAGCAAAACUUAUCAUAAAUCUGAUCUUAGACAACCCUCAAUCGUCCAAAAAUCUACCUAACCCAACAGUUUUCCAAUGCAAUAUUAAAAGGAAAAAUUGUCCCACAAUGUCCACAGUCCAUAUGUACAAUCCGGGGCAUUGGGGAUGAAGAGAUCUCACGUCAAUUAUAGAUAUGGCCAAAGUAGAACUUAUAAAGACUUGAGCUAUCUUUAUCUCGUGAGCAAGCUUUUGGAGUUGAGUCAGGCUCAUCCCAAAUUCUAAAUGAUAACAAAGCCCAUUGUAUUGUACAUCAAAUAUUGGUCACUCUUAACUAUUUAAAAAUUUACCUAGGUCGGCAGCUUUCCCAAUGCAAUUUAAAAAAAUUAGUCUUACAGAGUCUACUCUCCAAAUGUUCAAUGCAAUAGAUUAAUCUUAUUAAACUUAGGCAAUCCUCACCUUAUGAACUCACUUUUGGGUUUGAUUCAGGCUCAACUCAAAUAUUGAAUAUUGUAUUAGAGACUACUGUAAAUCUAAUGUUAGAUCACCCUCAAAUCAAAUUCUAGAUGGUAUGAAAUCCUAUGUGAAUCUAAACUUAGGUUACCCUAAACUAUCUAAAACUCUACCUGGCCCAAUCUCCAGAUGUCCCAAUCCUAUGCAAGAGGAUCCGACAAAGACAACAGAUAUGGACAGACUAAAGCUUAUAAAGGUUCCGACGGUCCUCACCUCAUGAGCUCGCCUUUGGGAUUAUUGAAUUUGGCUCAGCCCAAAUUCUAGACAAACCAAGGGUAACUAGUCAUGAGGGAUGAAAAGAAGACAAGCCUAAAUAAAAUAUUUUUCAUCAUAUUUAUUACUGUACCUUCUACACUACACCUCCCCAUAGAAUCAAAACCUUUCAUUUAUGAAAUUUCUAAAUCACAGUUUAUCCAGUUUUUUUCUAAAUCACAAGGUCUUCAAACAAAGUAACACAAAGAUUGUGAUCCAAGGGGGUGCCCACUAAACCAGAAAACAGUCAUGAGAGAGAACCUGACAUUUAGCCAGCAAAAGGCAGAAAACCUAGGUUUUUCCCUUUGGUAGUAGUUUCAAAUUUGUCAAUGCUGUGAAUAUAUGAGAAAAGUUUGCUAAUUCAAAAGUUAUAUAAAUAUUUUAAUUCAGACCAAAAAUCAUGACCUAACAAGAUAGACAAUAAAAUAAAUUCUGACAAAUAAAUGACCAUUAACUAUACAACAAAAGGCUCAAUCCAAACAUAAACCAUAAUAACAUCCUUAAAAACUCAUCAAGUUCAAGUGUAAUGGACACUGCAUAAAGAUAAAAGAUGAAUAUCUGAGACAGAUACUAGUUGUAGCCACAUUAAUAAACGAACCAUGAUUUCAAUUUUGUAACACUCGGCAGUAAGCACUAACCUCUAUAUAAUCUUAUGCACACUCAUUUUUUCUUCUAUGUAUACAUGAUGUUGUUUUUCCAUCUUUUGAUUUGUACACGUAAUAUUAUUCAGAGGCUAAGUUUAGCUUUCAACAGACAUAAGUUUCUUCACAAAUCAAAGAAAAACAGUUGCAAUUCAACAGGCAAGACCGUAACUAAAAAGUAAAAAUCUAGCAAACCCGUGAGUUUCAAAAGCAAGACAAGAAGCACUAAAUAAAUCUAGCAACACAAGAAGCAUGCAAUGAAAAAGAUAACACCCCCUGACCCCCUCAACACAACUAGAAUGCAGAGAAAGUGUACUAUGACCCUGAAGACUUAAAUUUUGUUCCCACAGAGCUUCUUAGUCGCCAUUUUGACUCAAACUACGAACUAGGUGCCACUACAAGCCGUAUCCCAACAAAAUAACCCUUAACAAAAGACACAAUUGAACCUUCGCGUUUUUCAUUUUACAUUUUUGCGUUCUCCUUUCUCCUAACUAAAAAUAAUCAAGUUGGCAAUCUAUACAAAAGCUUACGCUAAACUACAUCCCAAACCAAACGCCAAAUUGAACAUUUAGUAAAUAUUCCAAGAUAGAAAAUUUGGUCACAUCCGGUCAACGCACGCUGAUCAUAACGGUCAAAGUUCAUUAAAUGAACAUAGUCAAAUGCAAGAAACACAAGCGAAAUCACGCUAUCUACAAAACAGAGUAAGAUCCAUGAAGAAACAAGGAAGUCAACUAGGUAGCUCGAUCUUCGUUGAACACCUCAGUUGCAUUCGUAAAAUCAAGUCACGAAAAAAUCAAUUAGUCAAGAACGGUGAUAACUUGAAUUAGGAAUUGCGAAUUAAAAUCUGAGAUAGGAGGAGAGGAAUCGGAGCAUACUGGUGAGAUCACUGAGCAAGGCUCGACAGGGACCUUGCGUUACGUUGUUGGCGACGUCGAGGAUCCAAAAGCCAAUUAUGAAGACAGUUAUGGCGGCAGGUCGGUAGGAAUCGGUGUCGCCUAGGAGCCAGCCGAUGUCGGCGGCGUAGCCGAUGAUGAUGACGGCGAUGACGAUGGCGAUGGCGCCGAUGAAGAUGAAGGGGCGGCGACGGCCGAAGCGGCUGGUGCAGCGGUCGCUCAAGUGGCCGACGAGAGGCUGGACGAAGAGGCCGGAGACGGGGCCACAGAGCCAGAUGAUGCUGGCCCAUUGGUGAGGGAUGCCGAGCUGCUGGACGUAGGGAGUGAGGAGGGAUAGCUGCAAGGCCCAACCGAACUGAAUACCGCUCGCCACUGACGCCACGCGCAGUAGCUGGCGCAGCGAGGCCCGGGCCGGGGUCCGCGGCGGCGCCGACGUGGAGGGACGGCCCCGGGAGCGUGACUGUUGGCUGCGGUUAGCCUCGGGAUUCGGCAUCGCAGGUGGUGGCACUUUUGCCGGUGCCCCCUCUCUCUAAUGAAAACCGUUUCGUCAGGUAUGACAGAAGAGAGAGAGAGAGAGAAAGUGUUGUGUGUGUCAGUGUCUGUGGCGGUUCGGUUGUGGUGUGUAGCAGAAGCAAAGGUGGUGCGGUAUGGUGCAGUUCAGUGGGAUUCCGUUGUAACUUGCGAUGUGGGACUUGCUAUCACCAAAAUUGACCUCUUAGCCACACUUAUUUGCGCAACUACCCUUCUCUCUGUCAUUCCUAACUCUGCAAUCAAAUCUAGUUAAUAUUAAUAAUAGACAACUCUUCAACAAGUGGUUCAUAAUUUGGAUUUUAGUUAUUAAAUUACCUUAAAUUUAACUCAAUUGAAAAGAAAUAAAUAAAGUAAACUAUUACAUUAUAAGUAAAUUAAAAUUUGAGAUUAAUUUUAUUUUUCAUUAAAAUUAAACCACAAAAAGUGAUCAAGAGUUUUAAGUUCGAAAAGAUGCUCUUUAAUAGGUAGGUUUUCAGUAGGGAUAUUUUAGUACCUAAAAAAGAUAUAUUGAGAAUAAUAUUUUUCUUGUAAUUAUUAAAAGAAGUUCAAGUGGUUAAUGAAACGACAAGGAUUUGGAUAGGGACGGAAUUAAAAUGUGUUAGAUUUAUUAAUUAAUAAUUAUUAGUAUUAAUUAGUAUUAGGUUAAUAAUAGGUAGUGUGUAAAGUUAGGGAUAAAGAAAAAUAAAAGGUAGUGGUAAUGGAUUGGGAAGGCUAAUUAAGUAAUAAUAAUUAUUGGUUAGACAAAUGGUUCACUGAUUAGAAGAUAUUUUGCCUUCAACUUUUUGCUUUUGGCUUUUGGGAGAAGAACGAUUCUAGCAAUGUGCAUAGUAAUAGUAGGUAUAGGUACGUAUAUACGUAGGUAUAGUAUGGGUCUAGUCUUUGUUCUUUUGUGGGGUAGAAUAUCCUAAAGUGACCCUCAUUCACCAUUAUUUAUCAUUUUUCACACUCUUCUUAGUACUUGUCUCGUAUGGGCAAAUAAAUAAAUAAAACAAACCCCUUCAAUAUACUCUGUUUUUUCUAAAUAAAUAAGAUGCAAACAAAAAAGUUGUGUGAACAAUUUUUACUUGUAUUGUAUCCGUAUUUGUAUUUGUAUUCGUAUGCAAAUGUAACUAUUAGUAAUGCUUAAAAUAUUAUUGCCUUGCGAUUCACGUUUAGAAUUGAAGAAAAAAAAUGUUGGAGAAGGUUGUAUACAGUAAAGAGAAAAUGAUUGUGAAAAUAUUUUCUCAUAAUCUCAUCAACAUAUGAUAUUAAAAAAAGAUAUUAAAUAAAUAAUUAUAGAAAAGUAGUAGAUAUAUUAAAUUAAUGUGGAAAACAGUGAUGGGGUUUUAAGGGAGGGCCCACAGAGCAUCUUCUUCAAUCAUUUUGGUUUGCAUGACAGAAGAAUUUGAGGCAUUUACAACACAUUAUAUGUGUGACCAUGGUUUACUCUGAAAUUCGUUGUUCCUAGGUUUGGACUCUGGAACAUAAUAAAUAAAACCAUUUUCUUCAUUAAAAAAUUUAAUGAAAUUGUCGUGGUUGUGAAAGAUGCAAGAUUCAUUCAUCUCUUCCAUUCAUACUCACGUGCCAGAUAUUUUUUUGUGGGCAUAACGUCCAAAUCAUGUUUAUUCAACCUCCAAUCUAAUUUAUUUUGAACCUGGUUGCACAAUGAAAAGUGAUUCUACCAUUUGCAUUCUAGGAAAAACAAAUAUAUUCUGAUUUUACCUGCAAAACGUAAAAUUGGAUAAAAUAAGCAUUCUUAUCAAUAGUCUAACUAAAGAUUAAAAAAAUUAUUAGUUUGUGAGGAAGAAGAGGAAGAACUUUCUUAUGUGCUUGAGGCUCAAUCAUAAAAUUUAUAUUUCUAUAUAUAUUUUUCACUAUUGUUAAUGAUUUUUUCUGUUACCCUUAAAAAAAAAUUAUGCAUAAUAGAUCUGAAGUUAGAUCAAAUAUUUUAGAUCAAAUAUUGUGAAUUUUACCUUUUACAUAAAAAAAAUUAUAUUCAAAUUAAAAUUAGAAGUAUACAAAUUAAUAAUGGUAUAGAAUUUAAGAUGAAAGAUUCCUUUGCUUCUUGGAGUAUCAUUCAUCACACCACUUGUGUGGAAAUACUACAAGAGAAUAAUAUAGUUGAAAGAAAACAUCAACAUUUUUUUAAAUAUCACUAGUUUUUUUUUAUUUCAUUCUAAUCUUCCUACAAAUUUUUGGAGUUUUGUUAUUCAGCAUGCAACUUUUUUAGUAAACUGCAUUCCUACACCUCUUCUUAAUAAUGUUACAUCGUAUGAAAAGUUAUAUGGAAAUAUAUGAUAUUUUUAAUUUACGUGUGUUUUUAUAUUUGUGCUACUCUAUUUCUCUUGUUGCACAUAGAAAAAAAAAACUUGAUAGAUGUGAUGUACCUGGGAUUUUUUUGGUUUCAAAUCACAUACAAAAGGUUUCUUUUUUUAAAUCUUAAAAUUGAUAUUUCUAGACAUGUAUUUUUGUGAAUUUUUUUUCUAUGCUCAGACUUAUGAUAUGUAAAUGUACAAACUGACAAUGCUAAUAAUACUAUUGAUACUCCCAUUGUUGACAAUAAUAAUGUUGAUGAUACUCGCAUUGUUGACAACAAUGAUGUUAAUAUAACUGUUGACAAUGAAGUUUCUUCUACUUAUCUUAGAUGGUCAAAUCGCAACAGAAAAAUUCUCUUUAUUUAAAUGAUUUUCAAAUCAACAACAACCAUGUAAGUACUCAUCAUCCUCAGAACUUUUGAACUUCAAGUAUUUAUUUGUUGGUUUUAGACAUACCAUAAUGUUCAUAUCUUCUAAUGUUGAACCUCAAAAUUACGAGGAGGCUGCUAAAAUCUCAAAUUAGGUUCAAGUCAUGAAAGUUGAAUUAGCUGCUCUUGCAACUAAUCAAACUUGGACUAUUACAAGUCUUCCUUCCGGAAAAAACGCUAUAGGUUGUCGAUGUGUCUACAAAAUCAAGUAUAAUUCUAAUGGUACUAUAGAACAUUACAAGACAAGACUUGUAGCAAAAGGGUACAAUCAAUUGAAAGGUUAAAUUUCUUGGAAACCUUUGCACCUGUAGCUAAGCUAAAAACCUUGAGGUUACUUUUGGCUCUUCCUACUACCAACAAUUGGGCCUUAAAGCAAUCAAAUGUCAACAAUGUGUUCCUCCAUGGUGAUUUACAUGAAGAAGUUUAUAUGAAGCUUCCCCCGACCAUGAAACUAACUGCAAGAACAUUGUAUGUCGACUUCAAAGGUCCCUUUAUGGUCUCAGACAAGCAAUACAUCAAUGGUAUGCUAAACUAUCUCAGCUCUUACAAUCAAAUAACUACAAAAUUUCUACUAAUAAUCAUUCUUUAUUUCUAAAACAUGAUGGACAAACUACUAUUGCACUCUUGGUUUACGUGGAUGAAAUUGUUCAAACUGGGAAUAACCUUAAGGAAAUAACAUUACUGUUAUUCUCCAAAACAAAUUUUGUAUAAAAAAUCUGGGAGAUCUAACCUACUUCUUUGGUAUUGAAAUAGCAAGAAAAAACAUUGGCAUCCAUCUCAGUCAACAAAAAUAUAGUCUAGAUUUACUUGAAGAAAAUGGCAUGCUCACUUGUGCUUCAUCCUUGACCCCUAUGGCACACAUAGUACAUCUUAUGGCUAAGAAAGGUAACAAACUUAAUGAAGAAAAAGCUUAUUCUUAUAGAAGAUUAAUUCACCGUCUUAUUUAUCUUACCAACACACAUCCAGAUAUAUCCUUUUCUGGCAACCAUCUCAGCCAAUUCGUCUUUACACCUACCAGUGAUCACUAUCAAGUUGUUAUGCAUGUGCUAAAAUAUGUUAAAGCUUCUCUUGGUGUUGGCAUUUUUCUACACAGCAACAACACCAUUCAACUCAAGGCAUAUAACGAUUCAGAUUGGGCAAUAUGUCCCGAAACAAGAAAAUCUAUAAUUGGAUUUUGUGUUUAUCUAGGAAACACCAUCAUUUCAUGGAAAUCUAAGAAGCAAUAAACUAUCUUAAGAAGCUCUUCUAGAGAUGAGUACUGAGCCUUAGCAAUUACAACUUGUGAGAUUCAAUGGCUAACAUAUUUAUUAUAAAGUUUCUCUUAUUGAACUAACCCUAUUAUACUGUGACAACCAAUUUGCUAUUCAAAUUUCCAAUGAUUAAGUGUUUCAUGAAAGUACAAAACAUAUAGAAAUUGAUUGUCAUGAGGUCUGUGAAAAAAUCAAGAAAAGGUUAAUCACACUACAAAAAAUCAGAUUUACUAACAAAGUUUUACGUACAGACCUGAAUCCGUUGGUAAAUUCAGCAUUACCUACGGAAUUACCCACAGAUCUGAAUCCGUAAGUAAAAUCAACAUUACCUAUGGACAUUACUCAUGAAUACGAAUUCAUAGGUAAAUUCAGCUUUACCUAUAAAUAUUACUCACAUAUCUCUAUCUAUAAGUAAUUUUUACAUUAUUCACAAAUUUUACCCACGAAUUUAUAUCCAAAAAUAAAUUCAAUAUUAUUAUUAAUUAUUAAAAUAAAUAUUUUUAUUAACAAUAUUAAUAAUAUUUUUUUAUGUGAUGACAAAUUAUUGUUGUUAGUUGAGAUGUCAGUCUAGUUAAGAUGUCAAGUUGCAUAGUGAUACCUAACAUGAACGCUUUUAUAAAAUAAAUAUUAAUAAUAUUAAGAAUAUAAAUAAUAUAAAUAAUUUUAAAAAUUUUAGUAAUAUAAAUAAUAUUAAUCAUAAUAAUAAUUAUAUACGUAAUAUUAAAAAUAUUAUUAUAAUAUAAAUAAUUAUAAAACCAUAGCUAAUAUUCAUAAAUAAUAAUCAUAACUAAUAAGUAUACAUACUACUAACUUUAUAAAAUUAAUAAUAUUAAUAUUAAUAAUAAUGAUAUUAAUAUUAAUAGUAUUAUAAUAAUAUUAAUGAUAUUGAUAAUAUUAAUAACAAUAAUAAUAUAAAUAAUAAUAUUAAUAUUAAUAUUAAUAUUAUUAUUAUUUAUCUUAUUUAUAAAAUUAAUACUAUUUCUAAUUUAUACCUAUAUAUAAAGGAAAUUAUCCGCUCUUUUGGUGUUUAUCAAUUUUACUCUUAUAUUAAUAUUUAUUUUAUUGUUUUAUCUUGUACAUUUUAGUCAUUUCAUUAUUUUUUUAAGCAUUUAAUAAAUAACUAAUUAUUCUUAUAAUUAAUUGGAAACUGUUUUUCUUUUUUAUUUUUAAAACUAAUAUUCCAUCAUUUUGUAAAAAGCAGUUACCAAUUUUAAAUUUUGAAUGUGGAGCAGUUUAUUAAAAGUUUUGUACGACAUGGAGCAAUUUUUUCCUCAUAUUUUCAUCUCUCUUAGAAGGCAAUUUCUCCCUCCACCAUAUCAAUUUCAACAUGCACCCAAUCAGCUCUAGAAAAUGACAAAAAUACUCCUUCUAAAUGAUGAAAAUAACCUUACACAAAAAUGGAAAAAUUAUUUUUGAAACUUUUAUCUAAAAUAUUUUGGAUUUCAAUUUUCCGAACAUUAUUUUUGAAUUCUGGAAUUUUUUAUCCAGAAUGUAUUUUUAGUUUUGUGUUCAGAAUUUUUUUUCCAGCAUGUAUUUUUUUAUUUCUCAAUUAUAAUUAUUAUUUUGGAUUUUUUAAUUUGUAAUAAGGGUAGUUUUGGAAAUUUAAAAAAUUGAUAUGGUGGAGGUUAAAAUUGAUAUGGUGCAGGAAGAAUUUGCUCUCUUAGAAAUAGGGGUGACAAUGCGGGCUGGCCUACCCCACAUAGGCCUGCCCCGCGUUUGGCAUGCAAAAUACGGGUUGGGUUUGCCCUCCCCGCCCUAGAAGUGCGGGCACAUUUCAUUGGCUCGCCUUGCAUAAGAAGUAACCCGCAGGCCUGCGGGUCAGUCUGUAUAAGAAUUUUUUAAAAACAAAAAAUAAAAUUUCAUUAAUUAUAAAAAAAACUUAUUCCAACUACUGAAAAAUUAAAAUUUUAUUCAUGUUUCAAUUCAUUUAAUUAAGAUAAAAAUAUAAAUUCAAGUGUGAGAGUGGUUAGAAGGCUUGAUUAAAAAUAAUUAAAAUUUUGUUUUGCAUAUAUUUUUUCCUAUAUAUGUAUGUAAAUGUAUAAGAGUAUCUUAUCAAAGUUUUGCUACAAAAUAUUUUAAUGAAGAUGACUAAUUUUUUAAUUAUCUUAUUGAAAUUUCUUCUUUAUAUUAUUUUUUUAUUAACAAAUUUUAAAUAUAAGACUUUACUUAAAACUAAAUUCAUUAUCACUCUUAAUAUUAACUCCUUUAGAUGAUUAAAAUAAAACAUUCAUUUUUUUAGUACAUUAAAUUCAAUUUUUUAAAAAUAAAAUAAAAUGAAAAUCACACUGCAAUAAUGGACGAAUGGGGUAUGAUAUUUUUUUACGAAAUAAAAAUUACAUAAAUAUUUUUUCAUUUACGUGGGCUAGCGACCAACCGCCCCGCUAUUAGCCUGCGUGGGCUACGGGUUAUGCGGGGUAGGCCAAAGCGGGUCAGCGGGCUAGAAUAGUGAGCCCGUCCCACACUUUUUGGUAGCGGGUCAACCCGCAUGGCUUGCCCCGCAUUGCCACCCUUACUUAAAAACCAUUGUGACCUCCGUCAACAACAUUUAGCGGACGACCAUCUUCAAAUGCCUCGCGUGGGCGACUUAGAUGGAGAUGUGAACAAGGAACAAAACAACUUAUUCUUAUUCACUCCAAUUACAUCUUUCUUCACGGAUCACCUAUUCUUUUCAUCACAAAUGUGGCAUCGAAACGUCUCCAAAUUCGAUGAUAGAAUUUUGAGUCUAUGAUUUCUGACGCGGUCUUUCUCGCAAGAGGAAGGGAAGAGGUUCGUUGCAUUAUGGAAAAACGACUAUUACAAUAGUUUGGAUUUUCGUAACUUGGAUAUGCAAUGGUAACAUGUUGUUUGUCCUGCCUUUGCAACCAGACCUUUAAAGUCGUUACUUUGAGACGGUGCUCACAAUCUCUUUUUGACAUGUUUGUUUUUUAUUCCUCUUUAUCAAAUUGAUCAUUCUUUCAUUUUCCUUUAUUUAUUUGUUCCAUUAAAUUGAGAAUUAUUAAUAAAUAUAAAACAUUGUUUUUUUUUCUUUAUUAUUGUACUAAUAUUAUCACUUUAAAAAUGUUAAUGAUAAAAAUAAAAAAUACAGAGAUACAGACGCAUGAAUACUCGUGUUUCCGCUAGUAUUAAUAAUAUUAAUUAUAUUUAAUAAUAUUUGAUAGAAUUUUAUAAUAUUGAUAAUAAUUGAUAAUAUUUGAUAAUAUUUAAUAAUAUUUGAUAAUAUUUAAUAAUAUUUGAUAAUAUUUAAUAAUAUUUAAUAAAAUUUGAUAAUAUUUAAUAAUAUUUGAUAAUAUUGGAUAAUAUUUGAUAAUAUUUGAUAAUAUUUGAUAAUAUUUGAUAAUAUUUAAUAAUAUUUUAUAAUAUUUUAUAAUAUUUUAUAAUAUUUAAUAAUAUUUAAUAUUUUUAGAUAAUAUUUAAUAAUAUUGGAUAAUAUUUAAUAAUAUUGGAUAAUAUUUGAUAAUAUUGGAUAAUAUUGGAUAAUAUUUGAUAAUAUUUAAUAAUAUUGGAUAAUAUUUGCUAAUAUUUAAUAAUAUUGGAUAAAUUUGAUAAUAUUUAAUAACAUUUGAUAAUAUUCGAUAAUAUUCGAUAAUAUUUGAUAAUAUUUAAUAAUAUUUAAUAAUAUUUAAUAUUUUUGGAUAAUAUUUCAUAAUAUUGGAUAAUAUUAGAUAACAUUUAAUAAUAUUGGAUAAUAUUUGAUAAUACUUAAUAAUAUUGGAUAAUAUUUGAUAAUACUUAAUAAUAUUGGAUAAUAUUUGAUAAUAUUUGAUAAUAUUGGAUAAUAUUUGAUAAUAUUUAAUAAUAUUGGAUAAUAUUUGAUAAUAUUUAAUAAUAUUUAAUAAUAUUUAGUAAUAUUGGAUAAUAUUUAAUAAUAUUGGAUAAUAUUUAAUAAUAUUGGAUAAUAUUUCAUAAUAUUUAAUAAUAUUGGAUAAUAUUUAAUAAUAUUUAUUAAUAUUUCAUAAUAUUUAAUAACAUUUAAUAAUAUUUAAUAAUACUUAAUAAAUAUAAUAAUAUUUAAUAAUAUUGGAUAAUAUUGAAUAAUAUUUAAUAAUAUUUGAUAAUAUUUAAUAAUAUUGGAUAAUAUUUGAUAAUAUUUGAUAAUAUUUAAUAAUAUUGGAUAAUAUUUAAUAAUAUUUAGUAAUAUUAAAAAUAUUUACUAAAAUUUAGUUAUAUUUAGUAAAGAUUUAAGGAUAUUUAGUAAUAGUUAAUAAUAUUUAGUAAUAUUUAAUAAUAUUAUGAAUAUUAAUAAUAUUAAAAAUAAUAUUAAUAUUAUAAAUAAUAUUAUUUUAAUAAUUAUUGAAAUUAAUAAUAUAAAUUUUAUUAAAUAUAAAUAUUAAUAAUUUUUAUAUUAUUAAUUAUAUUAAUAUUGAUAGUCAUACUAAUAAGUAUAAUAAUAAUAAUCAUAAGAUGAGAGACUGGUGUAAUUGGUUAAAACUUAUUUGGUCAUUCAAGGAACUUGGUUUUGAGCCCCAAUUAGAAUUUGUUUCUAACUUCUAACAUUAAUAAUAAUUAUGAUAACAUAUAUAAUAAUCGUUUAUAAUAAUCCUAAAAAUAAACAUAAAUAAUAUUUGUAGAUAAUAAUAAAAAACAUUCAAAUAAUAAUUAAAAAAUAUGUUGAUUUACUUAUUGAUUUUCUGUUUUUCUUUUUUAUGUAAAUUUUUAUUUUUGCACAGUGUAUUAAACCACUCGUAUUAAUGAAAUUCAUUUUCUCUAUAUUUUCUUUUUCUCUCUGGAUUCUUCCACACCUUUCUUUUUUGUUCAUCUUUAUUUUUCAUCUUCUUGCUCACUGCCUAUCUCACGUGUGUGAAUUCUUAUUAUCUUGUUACUCAAAAGAAGAUUUUUAUGCAAAUAUUGAAUAAUGUUUGUAAUAUUUCUCUCUUAGAAUUGUCAUCUCCCUCGUGUAUUAAGGAAGAGUUAAUUUCAGUACAAAUUGUUGAAAAUGUUUAUCUAGUUGGUCGGAAAGAUUGCAAAAAUUACAUUUACAGACUUAUUUAGAUUUAUGUAAAAUAAUAAAAAAAGGAAAAGCUUUUUAUACAAGUACACAUGGGUAAAAGUAGUUGAUCUUAUGAAUAAUGUGUUAUUAAUCUUAUGAAGAUGACUAAUGUUAUUUUUUAUUUUGGUGAUGAACUCUUUAGUAAACAUUAUCACUAUAAGAAAAAUAUAAAUUAGAGAAAGAUGGAAAUGAAUAAAAGUUUGACAUUAAUUUAGAGUUUCGUUAUUAAUUUAAAUUAUUUAACUACAUGUUGGUUUAGUCAAAGCAACCAUGUAAUAUGGUUUUAUAUUUGUUUAAAAUUAAACUGUUGGAGAUCCCACAUCGACUAGAGAUGAGAGCCUUUCAUAGUAUAUAAGUGGGUGCAAACCUCACCCCAUUGAGCCGGUUUUAUGGGAUUGAGUUAGGCUUAAAGUCCACUUUGUAAUAUGGUAUCAGAGCCAUUUCGAGCCUAUCCUAGCGAGUGUUUGUGUUGGGCCUAUCGUGCCACCCGCUAUCGGGCCGCUAUCGGACCACCCAUAAUAUAUAGUCCCACGCACGAGCUUCUAUAUAUCACUCUCGGCGGCGUGAGGGGGGUGUAGAUCCCACAUCGACUAGAGAUGAGAGCCUUUCAUAGUAUAUAAGUGGGUGCAAACCUCACCACAUUGAGCCGGUUUUAUGGGAUUGAGUUAGGCUUAAAGUCCACUUUGUAAUAAACUUUUACCUAUAUUUCAUUGAUCGAGGUUUAGUUGACUAUGUGUACACCUUUAUUUUUAUUUUUGUAUUAUAAUUGUAACAAAGACAACACAUGUACAUGAAAAUGGGAUAAUAAAUUAACAAGUAGAAUUAAAAAGGUAAGAAAAAGAAUAUAUAUAUAUAUAAUAUAUUCAGACAAAACUAAUAUCGAACCUAAUUAAAGAAAAAGAAUAUUAUAUAUUAAAUUGUUGAGUAAUUUAGCACGUAAUUAAAAACGAAAAGUAAGGAUUUUCAAAUUGUUAUAAUAGAAUUAAAAUAGCAAUUCAUCUUAGGAUUACAAUAACAUAAAAGUUGUCAAGGAAAUUGAAAUGUUAAAAAAUCUUGUUUAGUUCUUAAACUUUCUCCUUCUCUUCUCACACGUUUUUCUUCCUCUUCUUUCUACUCAGUCUAGAAAGAACCUCACCUCCAUAGUGACACACACAUUUUCUUUUUCUUUUGAAUUUGUCUUUAUCUAUUGGUCUAAAACUUUAGUGAUUGAUUUAUGUUUUUGAACGGGGUUGGAACCAAGAGAGCGAUUGUAACACUCCUCGGUCGCCUCAUUUGCGAUAUGUUCUGACUCUCUCCAACUCCUUAUACUUUCUUGAACUACUACACUUCUCACACGACCGAGCCCGUUAGCUAACUGUCUCUUGUAAGUCGGUCAGGUAACACUUUGUUCAGCCCUUUCACCACAUCUUAUAAAAAUUUCAAAGGAAAGUUUUUUAAAAAUUUUGUGGAGCCUAAGGGUACGAGGCUUUUCUUUUAUGAAGCCGGUUGGUCCAAAUUUCUUCUGUAUUGGACUAGGAAUCCUACCUGGUUCAAGGAAUGACCUCGUUCGGCUCCGAGUGCCGAGGAGCAAGAGAUUUAUUCCCUUUUUGACCAACUCCCCUGAAGGCUCCCUACAUGGAAAUUGUUAAUUGUGUACAAGUCGUCUCAAUGGUGGAUGAACUUCCAGUGUACGUUUACAUUGUUUUUCGUCUUGGUCGGUCUUUUAAUGUUUGCUAAUGUGUUUUUUCUUGGUGCAGAUAUCAUGACUAAAAUUUUUUUGAGGUCGACUGAUACUAUGGCUGCCUUCUGUGCCAAGGCCCUUCAACAGGGUAAGGGUAGAGGUAGAGACCGUUGCGGCUGGCAACUCGUUCGGAGCUGGUGCGACCGACCCCUUUGUUGUUGAAGGGAGCAGGAAGAAAAGGAGAAGGGAGGCUGGCAACAUCGCUACUACCACCAAGUCUCAAGGUGGCACCCUAACUCGUCCAAUCUACUUGGAGUCUUCGUCGUUGGUCGGUGAUGUCGACCCCUUUGUUGUUGUUGUCGCCGGACUCCCCAAACUCCAAUGGCCCCCUUGUCUCUUCUAGGGGGAAACCUUCAAUUUUCGAGGGGCGUUCGGGUGGGCUUGCCGUUAGUUGCCGAGAACCUCCUCGCCCCCGUUCUCGAGUAGGAUUUGCUCCUGGGUGACAUUGAGAUGUUGUGCCAAGGUCUCGUUAUGACCCGGUUGGGUGCGUAUGCCCGAGGCCAGAGAGUCGAGGAGAUCUCGCGGCUUGAGCACGAGUUGACCGAGACUUCCAACUCAUUAAAGUCAACUUUGGAGGCGGUCUUGGCCUUUGAAUCGAAGAUGGCCAAAGUUGCGACUGAUCUCGAACUGGCCGAGGCGAGGGCGACCGAGAUGGAAAGGAGGGAGAGGGAGAAAGCGGUCGAGGUGGUUGAGAUGAAGAAGGCCCUGAGGAAUCCGAGGCCAAGAUCUCGGUGUUGGAGAUCAAGAAGGCAUCGGUGAAGGUGAUGGUGGGUGAGAGUUUUGACCAGACCAUCAAACAGGCCUACUUGCUUUACAAUGGGCCACCACCGAUGGGUGUUUUUUAUGCUUCCAAGGAUGUCUACGAGGGUCGACUGAUGCCCUUUGACGAGCUGGAAGCCUUGAAGAACACGACACCGAGAGCUCCUACUGAGGAUUUUGAAGAUGAAGACCAAUAGAUUUAGUGUUUGAUAAUUUUGUUUCCUCGGGCCGGGGAGUGGCCUUUUGUUUUGUUCCUUCGAGGCUGGGGUGUUGCCUCCUCCUUAUGUUUUAUGAAUAUAUCGGUCAUAUUUUAUAUUUAUUUAAUCACAAUGCAAGUUAUAAGUUAAAAUUGAACAACUAAUCAAUCGCUAUAAUCCAAGAUAAGAACUCUUAAGUUGUUAGUUUGUUGAGUUUCAGACGAUGUGACCGAUGAGGUUGAGCGUGGUUGUUUGACCAAGGUAUCGGAAAGGUAUACCAAAUAGGGUUUCGUCCUUGACCAAUCUAAGUCUUCAUGUUGUACUGUUUGGCUGCCCAAGGUUUGCAUGCAGCUUCACGAAUUUUACUCUUGUCUCGGAACUCAUUUAGUAGGUCAAGCCCGACAUAGAGUUUCAUGGUUUAAGGAAAACUUAAAGAGUUGUCUUCUAAGGGAAGGUUUGCCCACCUCGACUGGGAUCAUGGUCUUGAUGUCGUAUGUUAGACUGUAGGGUGUCUCCUGCGUCGAGGUUUGGGGCGUGUAGCGAUAUGCCCACAAGACUUCUACCAGCUCUUUAGUCCACCAUCUUUUCACCGUGUCAAGCCGCUUCUUUAACUCUUUAAGGAUAACAUUGUUUGUGGCCUGGUCUUGUCUGUUGGUCUAGGGAUGCUCAACCAAGCUUGUUAUAGACUUUAUACCAAGAUCCUCAUAAAAGGAGUCCUUGGUCGAUGAACUGCUGACCAUUAUCGAUUAUGAUGGUGUGGGGAACUCCGAACUGGCAUACAAUGCUUCUCCAUACGAAAUUCUGUAAAUUAUUGACUGAGAUAGAAGUGAGGGGCUCGGACUCGACCCACUUGAUGAAAUAGUUGACUCCGACCAAGAGAUAUUCGUUUGACCCUUUCCCGAACUUGGACCAUGUGUCGAGUCAUGAUCUCGGUCGUGCUAGUCCUACCAUUACAGAUUAUUUCUUUUCUUCUUCAUUUGUCGUGCCAAAACAGCAAAGGUUGUGGAAUAAACUAGUUUUCAUCCCCAUGAUUAUCCCAUUAUGUUUGUUUAACAAAGAAACACGAAAUACAUUGUGUAUCCUUGAAUCUGCUGGCUACUCCAACCGAUAAGCUACUUCUCCAACUCUGUUCAAUAUUUUAAAUGGAUCAUAAUAGCGUGCUACUAAUUUGUAAGGUUGUAACUUAAGAUAAAUCAAAUCCCCAAUCUCAUAUUGCUUGUCUUGGCGCUUCAAAUUUGCAUACCAUUUUGUUCAAACAUGACCCUUUAUUAAGUAAGUUUUCACAAGUUUAGAAAUUUCUUCUCGUGUCUUCAUAGUGUAAUUAAAAACUUCCACCAAAAAAAAAAUCCAUACCCUUAUAUUUAAGUAAUCUAGUUAUAAAAUCCAUUCAGAUUGAUUUCCAUACUUGGUUGGGAACAAUUUGAAACAGCUACAGUUUUGUCAAGAUUAGAUUUAAUACCACUUUUUGAAAUCAAGUGUCCCAAAUAGCUUACUUAGGACUUACCAAAACUACAUUUCUAUUAAUUAAAAACCAAAGAAUUUAUUUUCAAAACAAUUAAGCAAUUUUAUCCAUUUUUCACUAAUAAAAUUAUGAGUACUCCAUGUGUCCAUUAGAAAAGGAACUUUUUGUUUCUUGUGAGACUCAUUAAUUGCAAAGAAAUGUGGACUGCAAAGUCAUUAAUAAAAGUUUGUUGAAAUUUGUUGUGAUGGCAAUGAUUAACAAGAAAACAAGGCAAAAAGUUGUUGCUUCAAUUGGAAAAAUAGGGAUUGAGUUUCAUCUUUCUCACUCUUUUGUAUUUUGAUUAGCAUGGUAAUAUUGUGCCCUUAGAUUGAUAUUGAUGCCCGUAUAAAAAUCAUUUAUAUCGAUUCCUCGCAUAUAAAAUUAUUAAGAUGCUUCCUAAAUAUCGAUUCCUCGCAUAUUUAUAAAAACAACUUAGAAUCAAGAUCAAACGUUGAUAGCAAUUAACAUUUCAAGUCUAUUUCUAGCACUAAAAUAUGUUAAGUAUUAUUGUUUAGGUCAGAACCAUAAAAAUACUUUUCAGUCAAAUUUAAGAUUCUAGAUUAAGAAUUAUAAGCAAAACAAUGAUACAAAUAAUCAAUGAAGAACAGAAUAUUAUAUUCAGAUAUCACCUCAAUACAUAAGAGUUUGAACAAAUUACUCCCAAUCACAAAAGGUAGAAUUAGCCACACAUCUUCUAACACCUUAUAUUCUCCCAAUUGGGUUACAAGUCACUCAAUGGUGUUUUCCUCUCAAUCUCGCACACUAGGGUUAUGCCUCAAGCCUCCUAUUUAACCUAAUUUGCUUGGGCUUAAGUGACUUCUUGCUUGGAUGCUAAUGGGCUCGCUUGGGCGAGUAAAACGUAAAAAGGCUCAAUGUCUCUGGCGCUAUCUCGCUUGAGUGAGAUCCACUGGUAGAAAGAUGGUCUUUUGCACGUUUAGGCAGCUUUGGUGAAUGUUGAUGCAUUCCAACUUUCUCUUUUUAGCUUUGUAUAUUUUCUUUUUGCCCAAUUAUCUCCAUUAUUCCCUAGAAACCUAGAAUUAACACAAAUUUGAGAAUAAAAUGUUCUUAUUCAAUUUAAAAUCACAAAAUAUGUAAAAAGGUAUAAAUUCAUAAAUUAGGGGUUAUUUUAUAUUUAUUUAGCAAUUAAUACUCAUAAGUGCCUAUAUUUUAAUAUGAAAUAUUACUGAAAUUUGGCACUUAUCAGUGGGAAAUGAUGUAACCCUGACAUGCAUUAUGUAGUUAUGGUAUCUCAAGAUAUUCUUCAUUACAUACGCAAUGCACAUUUUCACGCAUGCAUGACUUGUUACUGUCAUUAUGAACAUGUGUUGACCAGAAGUGACCUUGGAUAUGAUGUAAUAAUGACAUGUAUUGGGUGGUUAGGGUGGGUCAGACACGUGUCAUCGCAUAUGCAAUGCAAGUUGUCAUGCAUGCAACAUUUGAACAUCACUGGGAAUGUGAAGAUCACAUAUGAGUUUGGACAGGAUGUAACCCUAACAUGUAGUGGGUGGUUGGGGUGACUAAAGACACUUGUUAUCAGAUACACAACGCACAUUGUCACGCAUGCAACACUUGUCAACGUCAUUGGGAACAACCUACCAAAAGUGACCUUGGAUGAGAUGUGUACACUAUAAAUUGAACCAUAUAACAAAUUGAUGCCUAAAAAACAAAACAAUUCAUCCUUAGAAAACCCAAUCAAAUACCAUCCUCUCCAAAACAUCAAUACUCUUCUUUACUCAUCUUCAAAUGGAACACUUUCGCAUGAUUGAGACUCUCCAAAACAUCAAUACUCUUCUUUACUCAUCUUCAAAUGGAACACUUUCGCAUGAUUGAGACUGAGAAUGAUUAUUAUUCCAUAAAUUUUUCUUAUUUACAUAUUUUUCUAAUUUAAAUUUCUUUAAAAUAGAUGUACGUGUAAAUAAUUUUUUAAAAAAAUAUUUACUUGUUUAAGUUAAUAUAUUAAAUACACUUUUUUUAAAAUAAAUCUAUUUUUUACAUAAAAAAUUCCAAACCUAUUGUUUUUAAGAAAAACAAAAUAUUUUCUUCAAAAGUUUCUUUCUCCCAUUUUUUUAAACGAAAAAGAAAAAAAAAUCCAAUUCGUAAUUUGAUUCCCCAAGAAUGAAACUUCGACUAAUUUUCCGACCAGCCUCCAUGCAUUCCUCAAUUCAAAUUCAACUUCCCGAUGAAGGAAUUUUGAACCAGCAAAAUAAACUGUUAUUUAUAUAAACAAAAGGUAUAGACUUAUUUACAAUAUUUUUACACUUUUAUUUCACUAUCUAAUAUCCUUUUGUUUUUUGUUUUUAUUUCUCUAUGUAGCACCCUUUUGGUUUUAUUUUUCUAUUUAACAUCAUUUCAAAAGUAAAAAAAAAAAAUUAAAAAAAAUGAUAAUUCUAAUUUUGAAUGCAUUAAAAAAAUAAAUAUUUUUAACGCUUAAAAUAGUUAUAAAAUAUAAUUAAUGAAUAAAGAAAUGAGUUUUUACAAAAUAAAAAUAAAAAAUUAAUAAAUUAAAAAUAUCUAGUUUAAUUUUUUUUAAGAAUGAAGAAAAUAAAAAAUUAAACCCUACAACAACAUAAAAGUUGAAUCUAUAAACAUAAAUUAAUAUUUAUUUUUAUUAUUAUUGAUGAUGUAAUCAUGUUAAUUUAAAGUAGAAAAUACAUGAUAUAAUUAUAAAAGAACGUGUCCCAACAUUAUUGGAUCUUUCACUCCUCGUCAUUAAUUAUGUUUCAUUUCGCACAAACUAUUUAUUGUACUACUGAAGAAAAUAUUAAAUGGAUGAUCAUCUCUCAUUUAUUUUCCUUUUUAUGAUCAACAUAUAUUUAUAUAGUAUCGUGUAUAUCUCUGAUCUCUAUCUUGUUUUGUUUUGUUUUUAUUUUUUAUAUGUAUUAUCUUUAUCUUAUUUUGUUUUGCAUUUAUUUUAUAUCUUUUAUGUUUUUAAUUAUUAUUUUUUUCUACCAUUCUUUAUUUAUUUCUGUUUUUAUUUUUAUUGUUGCUGUUUUUAUUUUCUAUAUUUAUUUAUUUUUGUAUUUUUUUCUUCUAAUUUUUAAGAAUUAAGUGUAACAUUUGCAUUAGUUUUUUUUUUAGGAUUUUGCAUUUAGGGUAGACACUUCAAUAUUAUCUGUGUCCACUACUAAUUAAUACUAAUUGACUUUGUUUUUUUUUAUAAUUAUGUCAUGUAUUUUUUACUUGAAAUUAACAUGAUUACAUAUUAAUAAAAUAAAAAUAAAUACUAAUUUAUGUUUAUAGAUUCAACUGUUGUUGCAGAGUUUUAAUUUUUUAUUUUCAUCAUUCUUACAAAAAAAAUAAAUUUUAAACUAAACAUUUUUUAUUUUUUUUAUUUUGUAAGCACUCAUUUCUUUAUUCAUUGAUUAUAUUUCUAACUAUUUUAAAAAUUAAAAAUAUUUAUUUUUUUUACAAAAAAAAUACAUUUAUUUUUUUAAUGCAUUCAAAAUUAAAAUUAUCAUUUUUUUUUUAAUUUUUUAAUUUCCUUUUUACUUUUGAAACGAUGCUAGAUAAGGAAAUAAAAACAAAAGGGUGAUAGAUAGAGAAAUAAAAACAAAAGGGUGCUAGAUAGGGAAAUAAAAACAAAAGAGUGUUAGACGAGGAAAUAAAAGUGUAAAUAAUAUUAUAUAAGAAAUUGAGUCGCGUAUUGUGCACCUGGGAGAACAAAAUUUCACAAUUUUACUAGUUUGGUGAAAAUUUCUUUCAAAUAUAGUUUUUCUUUUCAUUAAUAACAUUUUUGUUUUAUUAAAACAAUUGAAAAUGAUGGUUUUUACUUAUUUUCAUCUUCUUCUUCUUAUUUUUUUUCUAUUUUUUUUAUUGACUUAGGCUCUAUUUGGAUUGAGGAGGGGGAUUUGUGAGGAGUGGAGGGAGUGGAUUUGUAAGGAUUGGAGAGGAUGUGUGAGGAUAUGUGAGGUUGUUUGGAUUGAGGGAUGAUAGAGUGGAUUUGUGAGGAUGGUUUAUUGUAAGUUUACAAAAUUAUCCUUCUUAUUAAAAAAUAUUUAAAUAAUGAAUUACGAUUUUUUUUUUAGGUUUGAAUUAAUUAAAUAUUUUUAAUAUAUAAUAUCCAUAAUUAUUUAUAUUUUUAAUAAAAAAUUAAAAAAUAUAAAAUAAAAUAUUUUGGUGUUAAAUUAAAAUAAAUUUAUUAAAUACAUUAAAAUUUAUGAAAAUAAUAUUCAUUUGUUACUUUAUAUAAUUAUAUAUAUAUAUAUAUAUAUAUUGUUGAUAUUAUAAUUUUAUUUUAUUAUUUUAUUAUUUAUAAUUAUAUGUUGUUAUUAAUAAUAUAAUUAAAUAUUUUUUAAAUUAUAAAUAAUAAAUAAAUUUAUGUAAUAUUUAAUUUUAUAUAUUAAAAUAAAAUGUAGGCACAAGGGUAUUUUGGUAAAAUGCAACAAUUCUACUAAAUCUUCACAAAUCUCCUCAUUUUGUGAAGAAUGAAAAAAACUCUUCACCCUCUCCCCCAUCCUCUCCCCCACUCUCAAAACCACGGAAACAAACACAAAAAACACCCCCUCCCUCUUUCCUCCUCCCACUUGGAAGCAAACACACCCUUAAUGAUAAUUCUAUCAGCCAAUUCUGUGUUUAAAGUAAAAUUGUUUUAUUUCAUGGCAAAAAUUUUCAUUAUUUAUGUUAUUUUUAAUUUUAUUUGAUAUUUUUUGAAAUGGACAAAAAAGAAUUUUAUUCUAGAAUUGAACAAGUCGUACAUGGGAGUAGGGUCACAAUACGGGUCAAUCUGACUCACCACUGAUCUACUUAGGUUAUACAAACUGAAAUUAGUAAUCCAUCCUAUCAGAAGUUUAAUGUCUAACAAAUUAAAGUGAAUAUCAAUAAUAAUGUAAUGAACAAAAUGAUGUAUAAAAAAAUUAAUGUAAAUAAAGUUCUAUAUAAAAUAUUAACCUAACCAUCACCAAAUUUAAUUUCAAAAGCAUGAUAUUCAUCUCUAAAAAUGCCAAAAAUAAAGAAUGACGGGAUAGCAGGCUAGCCCGCCUUGUCCCACUUAUGGCCCGUCGGGUUAGCGGAUUAGGCGAGCUGGACCAAUACGGGUUGACGAGUUCAAAAAUGGCAGUUUCUUCCUGCACCCCUACAUUUUUCUUCCUGCACCCCACAAAGUGCGCAAAGACAAAAAUGUCGCUAUGUAAACUGUACAUUUUUUUUGUAUUCCGGAUUAUGAAAUCUAGUAAAUUUUCGGAUUGACGCUUCCGGUAAAUUUUUGGAUUGGUGCAUCCGGUAAUCUCCCGGAUUGAUGUUUUCGGCAGUACAUGAAUGAUAGUGUUAAUCCAAAAUAAAAAAUGCAAAACAUCCAUAAUUGAAAAAUCCCUUCCGGAUCCGCCAAUCCGUAAUUCAAAAUAUGCAUUCCGGAUUCAGAAAUCCAUAAUUGAAAAAAAUCAUUCCGGAUCCACCAAUUCGUAAUAUGAAUUAGGCUUCUGGAUUCAGCAAUCUGGAAAUCAAUAAUUUAUGCAAAUUUUGUUUCCGAGACACUCCCUCAUCCAGAAUGCAACAAAUUCACUUCCAGAUUGAUGAAUCCGUAGCACACUCCCAGAUCCCAAAAUUGUGGGGGUCAGUUUCAGAAUUUACAAAAUUGUGGGGGUGCAGGAAGAAAAAUAUAGGAGUGCAGGAAGAAACUGCCUUCAAAAAUUAACUCACCCCGACUAAGAGAUGGUGAACUAGUGGGCGGACUGGUUUAACCCGACCCAUUUUGUCAUUUCUAAUGGACAAUUAAUUCCUGCACUAUAUAACUACCCCCAAUUUCAGUAUGAAAAGAUGACCCUUAAAAUGGGGGUAUAUAUAAAAAUACAUUAUAAAUCUUCUUUUUCAUAACAAAUUUUUUGCAUUGCGGAUGUUUGUUAGGAAUGAGAUUUUGAUUUUUAAUCUCUAUUCCGAAUUUUUAUUUUCAUAACACAAUAAUCUUUUUCAAAUCUAUUUUUUUUGGAAUUUAUUAUUUUAAAUUUCAGAUUUUUAUUUCCAAAAUAAAAGGCAUUUUCAAAAAUUAAAAGUUAUGUAGGAUCACGUUUGCAUCCCUAAUGUGGAGUACUCUUGGAUUGAACUUUUCAAGAAAAACUUUUCUUUCAGUUUCUUUCCUGCACCCCCAUUGAACUGGAACCUACAUCCGUAGAAUUGAGUGAAAUGACCGAAUUGUCCCAUCCAAUUUUCUCUCAAUCCAUUCCGCCACCAGAAGAAAAAACAAGUAAAAAAAAAACUCAUUUUGUAAAGCUUAUAUCAGAACAAAUUUUAUGUAUUUAGAAGAUAUUACAAGAAAAGUUUAUUCUGAAAAUAGUGUUAUAUAAAAUUUAUUCUAAAAUUUCUAUUUAAAAAAAAAAUGAAAACAAUCCUUUUGAAAACUGUGGGAUUGGAGGAAGAAAACUCCCUUUCUUUUUCUGAUGCCAAACUCUCUCUUUUUGUCCUGCUCACAAUUCACACAACACAAUAAUUAAUAUUUCACCAUCUUCUCAGAAACACCUUACUUGACUUUUUUUCCCUCUUUUUGUUCUCUGCCUAGCUAUAUGCCCGUGUAAGAAGAACAACAAAGAAGCCAUUCAAAAGGGAAGAAUGUGGGAUCUCAAUGACUCUCCCGAUCAGAGGAAGAACUACCAAUAUGAAGGUUGCUCUUCAUCGCGGAAUGACGAUAAAGGCAAGAGAGUGGGAAGUUCCUAUCCCGUGGUCCUCCAAGAUGAAUUGGAAGAAAAAGAUAGUGACAAGGAUGGAAGCAGAACAUUGGAGAAAAAAACCAUUAAAAUAUUCGGCUCUUCAAUUACACACCAACACACUCACCACCUACCCGUCACCCGCCAGUUUUUUCCGGUCAAGGAUUCCGACCUUCCUGUCUCCGAAGCCGCCGCCGGCCCAAGCUCUUCCUUCCCUCGUGCUCACUGGGUAGGCGCCAAAUCUUGUCAGUCGGAAACUCUUGGCACCGGUAAAUCAGUGAAAUUGUGGGAGAAGAUGAAGAAAAGGCAAGCACGAGCACCACCAUCGGGAAACUUACAGUAUCGUGGAGUUACCUUUAACAGAAGAACCGGUCGAUGGGAGUCUCAUAUAUGGUUGGUGCUGUGCGAAUUUAUUCAAAGAAUUUCUAACAAUUUCUCAAAGGUGUGAUAUUGAUUCCUUUGGUUGUGGUUGUCAUUGGUGGUGCAGGGAUUGUGGAAAGCAAGUGUAUUUGGGUAAGUAUUAUAUUAAGGUGAAAGGAUUUCAUAUGUGGUAGUUUUUGUUGUAAACAGUGUGCAUAUUUUAUCAUGUUUCGUUGUGGAUACGAAUUGGGAGGAAGACAAGAGUGUAUUGUGGGGGAGAUUUGAAGUGAUGACUGAUGAGAUAGUUUUUUCUGGGUAAAAUUGUGUAGGUGGAUUUGACUCAGCACAUGCAGCUGCUCGGUGAGCACUUGCUCCUUCUCCUCCUAUUUUUUACCCAGAUUCUAACAUACAAUUUCGUUUCUUGAAAAUUAAAUACAAGGUUGGAAUUAAUAAAAAGCAUGCAUUUGUUUAUGUAUCUGUUCAGUGCGUAUGAUAGAGGGACCAUUAAGUUCCGGGGGGUGGACGCAGAUAUCAACUUCAACAUAAAAGACUAUGAAGAAGAGAUGAAGAAGGUGGGUCAUUAAGAGGGUGGAAGAGAUUCUGUACAAACUUGUUUAUCUUAUCUAGAACAAUCGAGGGAUUCCUUAUCUCCUACACCUCUUUAUAGUACUAUUUUAUCUGUCUUGGAUUGUUAUGGUGAGUCGGCUAAUCAAUGUUAUGUUAUUAUAAUAAUAGUUGAUCAAUUUUACCAAGGAAGAGUUUGUGCACCUACUUCAGCAAAGCACUGGAUUUCCGGAAGGAAGCUCCAAAUAUAGAGGUGUAACUUUGCACAACUGUGGAAAAUGGAAGGCUCAAUUUUCGGCCAAAAAGUUAGGACCUUUAUCCUCUAUUAUAUGUAUUUUGUACAUCAUGUAUUCUUGUGUAUGGCUUGUUCAUGCUGUGACAAAAUUAAUUUGAUUUGAUUUGAUUUGAUUCACCAGCUGCGUUUAUGUGGGUCUGUUUGACACCGAGAUUGAAGCUGCAAGGUAUCUACUUUAUUUACAUCUCAAUUUGAUGUUUCUCCCUUCCAAUUCCACUAUUGCCCACCUUGUAGAAAGUCGGCAAGAAUACGGACGCAUGCUAGGGUUUUGACAUUUUUUGCACAUUUUGUAAAUAGGGCAUAUGACGAAGAGGCAACAAGAUGCAUCGGCGAAGAGGCUGUCACCAAUUUUGAUCCAGCAUCUAUGAUAAAUGUUGUCGACGAAAGGUCUAUUUUCUUGACUUCCCGACCAAAACAUUCGUCUCUGUUCACUAUAAUCAAUUCAUAUUAUGUCUCAUUAUACUCUGGAUUCAUAUAUUAAUAGUAACCUUAAUGAUUCAGAGAAAUUUCCGGGAUUCAGUCAUUAAACAAGAAAUAACCAAGUCUUAGGUUACCCAAGAUAUAGACUCGUCCUACGCCCAUCGAGCUCCCAACAUUUUUUGUGAAAAAACACUUAGUCAAAAAUCUACCUUGGACUUUACUCUAACCAUAUAAAUCACAUAGAUUAAAACAUCAAAUGAUGAGAAGUUAGAUCAAGUUCUUGUACCACUUUUAUAGUUAUUUAUGCAAUAAACUUAUCUUGACUUAUGAAGUUGAGGUUCGUGUGUAGACCAAAAAUGCUUAAAAUGAGUUAGAUGUUAGUAUCUGAUAAGACACAAAAUACAAAGUCUUUUAGAUGAUAUUUAGUUGUUAUUUUGUAUUCACUGGGGUUAAGGUUUUUAUACCCUUUUAUUUAAAUGGAUCAAAUAAAUUUGGCCAAAUAGGAUUUGAUUUAGUUGUUUGAGAUCGUAAAUUCUCUCUGGGUAUUAUAUUGACCAUAACUUCUUGAUAACUCAGUCUUGUGUUUUUUAUAUUGUUUUACUAUAAAUUGUCCUGAGAUAUGAACAAAAGGAUGAUAUUAUAGAAGAAAUCAAACUUCGCUUCAUUUUCUCUUCCAAAAUAGAUAUACCUCCUUAAUCCCAUCAAAUUAAACCCAUUAUCCCCUCCCUGCAAAACCCAUUCCCCCUCCUAAUAAAAGUUUAUUCCUGCCCUACUCACCCAAAAUUCAUCCAACUACCAACUUAGUAUCCCUAAACUCAUCUCGAAACUCACUACUAUACCUCUCAUACGAAAAACUAUUUAUUUCUCCUAUUCCAAAACUCAUCUUCCUCUCAUCCUUAUACUACAAAAACAAAAACAAUGCCAAAAGAAUGUGUUACAACACUUCCCCACUUCUACAAUACCUUGCUCCCACCAAAUGUUGUUCCCUUUACCAUAUAUUUUGUGGUUUUUGUUCUACAAGAUAUAUCUCUCUCAGGCACCUCACUUCAUAUAUGAUUUUACAACAUCAUUUCUUCAUAUAUAUCUACAUAUAAAUGAUCUCUAAUCAGUGUUUUGAUUGUUUUUGUUGACAUCUCUUAAUAUCUAUCUGUGACUAAAACAAAUCUAAAUUGAGGGAUGAGAUUUCUAACUAGAUGAGGUUUUAAAAAAAUAACAUCGAUCAGACAUAAUUAAUGUAGAAAGGACAAGGUCAAACUGAUAUAAGAAGCAUUGUAGAAUUUUUGUGUGUUUCAAACUUAUUUCAGUCAUAUAAGAGAAAACGUAUCCCUUUGGAGAAAGCAUUUUACAAGAUUGUCAUCUAUCAAAGAGGUUGUUCAUGUUUAAAUCAAGAUCUCAAAUCCUUAUACUCCUAUUUAAUUCUUGUACCGGUACCGGGCGAGACUGGGACCCAUCUGGCUGCCCGAUGCCCAGUCAAUCUGCCCGAGUGACCGAAGGUCGAGACCCCUUGAAGACUUGGCCGAGGGCCGAGACCUUUUGGAGACUUGGCCGAGCGACCGAGACCGUUGAAGACUCAACUGAGAUGGCCGAAGGCCACGGGUAUUUGGCCGAUGGCCGGCCCUCACCAUGAGAAUUUUUGGCCGAAGGCCGAGCCCCAUUACAAUUAACGCUCAAACCAAGAUCAGUGAAGCUAAUCCAUCACCAAGAAUUAGGUAAUGCAACCCUAAGCGGUAUCCACCUUGAUAAAUGGGCCCAACAAGGUAGGCCCACUAGAAUAAUAUAAAUAGCACGCAUUUCAAGGAGUAAGGUAUGUCAUUAUUACUGUUCACCUACCUGAGAGCUAACCACCCGCUUUACUGACUUGAGCGUCGGAGUGCCUUCGCAGGUACCCCCACCAUCCGGUGUUCACCCGACGACCGAGUCCCGAGUGCCGAAAGAUAAGCAGAAGGAAGAGAAGGAUCCCAGUUCAUCACCCAGCCACCUGCCCGACCGAAGGAAGGAGAAGAAGACUUCAACAGUUCUCUAGGUCCCAUCUCCCUAGCAGGAACAAUUCUUAUUCUAUUAGAAUAGUACAAUAUUCUAGUACAUUCACCACUCUGGAACGACUAAAACUUGUUCACAAAUUGGCAAGCAUACCAUAAAAGGAUAUGGUAUUUCGAUAUCUAGAGUAUUUAACCAAAGUAAUUUAGGUAAUAAAUGAUAAUUAUGAUAAAUUUACUAAUUAAACUAAUAGAAAUAUGGAUUUUUGAAUAAACAGAAGUAUUUUUAAUAAAAAAAAUUUAUGGCAUUUUAUCGAACAGUUGGCAUGCAAAAAAAGAUAUAAAGAAAUUCAUGAAAAUAGUUGUCAGAGUUAAACAUUUAUAGGAACCUUAGAAAUAACUCUAAACCUUAUUCAUAUCUUUUACAAUUUCAAUUUUCUUGAUGUUAUUAACCUUACUUUCUUAACGAUUAAGGUUGAUUUCUAUACUUAUAUGACCAAUCCCUUAGAAAACCUAAUUAUAUAAAUCUGAGUUAGAAGAGAGGAUUCAAGAAACCUUAAUUUUAUUCCUAGAAAUAAGUGUUCAACAAGUACUACUUCAUAUCUAAAUCAUCAACAUGUUUUCCAGCAUAUUUAGUUCAUGACUAUUUGAUAAUUAGACCAAAACGGAAUUGAAAGCAUGGAAAAUGAAAUAAUUGUAUUGAAUACAAAUUAAGUUAAAAAUACAACCAAAUUACAUGAUUCAACUCGUACUACAAGUUCAACUCCAAAAUCAAGAACUAGGCAAGGAGGUCUAUGGAGAGAUUACAAAAGAUCAAUGAAAAUUUGAAGAAUAAAUGAAGAUGAGAAGUGAGAGAAUAAUAAAGAAAAAUUGCACUUAGAAGUGUGUACAUAAAAAUGAAAUUUCCACCAAAAUCUCACUUUAAACUAAAAUUUAGCUUUAUUGUCAACUAAGUUGCAAAAACAAAAGAUACAUCUCCUUGGAACACAAAUGACUAACUUCCUUGCAGUCAAUCAAACUUUUUACUUGAAACCAACCUGCAAUUAAAAUUUUCUUUUAUUUUUUUUUACAAAAAGUUAAAAAAUUAUCAAUUCUCUAAAGGGUCUUCUACACAGUUAUUUAUUUACAAACAUUUGCAUACCUUUAAAAACUAAGGAAGAUAAUUGUGUCUAAAAACAAAGGUUAAAAAGACAAUUAUCAAAAACGAAAAUAAAAUUAUUUCCAAAUUUCAAUAUAUAAAGAGAAAAACACUUUUAAUUUUUAUGACUAAAAAAUGUUUAUAAAUUUGGAAGAGUAAAUCAAAUUUUAAAUUGAAGAGAAUAAAAGCAUCAAAUUUAAACUUACGGGGAACAAAAAUAUCACUUUUAAAUUUGAAUAACUAUGCAUUAAUUGAUAUAAGUGAUAAUAAUUUAUAUUUCUUAAUUGACAUAACUAAUGAUAUUAUAAUCAUUGUUCACCUUGCUAAUAAUAUCUAUGUCAGCAAAGCAAGUAUAACUAAAUAAUAUCAUCAAUCAGUUUUUCUUUUAUUCUUUUAAGGUCAUCUAAAAGUGUUAUACUAGUUCUUUCUAUUAACUUUUUAAAUAAUUUUAAAAAGCCAAAACAUUAUGAGACUUUUUGCCACAAGAAAACUGAUGCCUUAUUUGGAAACACUCAACAGUCAAGUGUCCAAUAAAUUUAGUGAUUGUUAUACUUCCAUUGGUUGUUGAGGGUGGAGAUAGAAAUGCCCCCAAUUUCUAAAGAGAAUAGAGAAAGCAAACAAUGUGCUUUUUAUUUUCAACCAUAUAACUUCUCUCUUUUAGGCUCAAUUUUUAUCUUUUUUACUCAUUUUUUCAUUCUAUUCUGUUUCUUGUAUUUCCAUAUCUACCUAACUGAACAUUAAUUUCUCUUCCCUUUCACAAACCAAGCUCCACUUAUCUGCUAUUCAUAUCUACCACAAAACAAAGAAAAAAAAAACUCAAAGCUUGAACCUAACAAGUAGAAAUUGAAAAACUUGCUUUUUCCUGAAAGUGAAGCUGUAUCAUCAGUGUCAGCAAAGGAGUUGGCAAUCAAAGAGAUGAUGUACCCAUCUCCAGUUUCUUGUUAGAAAGGUAAUAGGUGAUGUGAUGGAGAAAUAGGGAAAAAAUAUGGGAUGUAAAUAAGAAGGAAAAUGGAUGUAUGAUGAUUAUUUUAGGUAGGAUAAAUCUUUCACGUAAUAUCAUAAAUGUCUGUCUUUUAAUUAGAAUUGAAGUUUCAUUUUAGUGAUCAAGAUAAACUUCAUAUCUAAUUAAAAAUAAUGUCUGAAAUUUUACUUACAUUUGUGAUUUUUGGAUAGUGGAAUGGGAUGUGUACAUAGUGUGUCAUUCUCAUACCAACUAGAUUGCCUGCUGUCAAAUUUGAUGCAUUUUACUCAUUCUUUGUUAUUGAAUGGUUGCUGCAUUAUUAGCUUUUUAUUUUUGACUAAAUUCUUGGCUUAACCAUCAUAAAUAGAAACUGUUACGUGAUGAUGAUAUGAUACUCUUUUCUGCAAUCCUUACCAACAAUUUAGUGUAUAUUUGACAAAGAUUAAAUUUAGGGAAAUAAUCAAAUUUUUUAAACACUCCAAGUCAUUUUGUUCAAUCUUUUAGUAUUGAAAUAACAUGCAAAUUUUUUCUGUUAAAUUAAUAGUCCAUAACACAUGAACCUGCUAACAGGAAUGAUGAAAGAUCAGAUAAUGAGAUGCAGAAUCAGGAGAAUGAGAGUUUGUAUGAUAAAUUUCGAGGCAAAGCAAAGAUUAGUGAUUCUAUAAGUUCAUUGCUCUCAUUAUCAGAAAGUUCUGACAAAGGCUCUGAUUUAUCAAAUUCACACGAUUAUUCCGGUCCCUCAUGAAUUUAUUAUGUAUUCAUUAUGAUAACUAUAAUAAGUUAAUAAGUUAAUGUGCUUUUACAUUUUCAUCCAUAGAUAGUGAUGGAGCUAGAGGAUAAAUUUUUAAUCUCUUUGGAUCAACCUUGGCUGAGACAGAAGGGUCUAUGUUUCAAUGCUGUCAAUGCUUUGAACUUCUUAACUUCGAACCACUCACUCUCUCUGUCAGUUUUGCAAAUCAAAUUAUGAAUAGUUAAGAAAUAAAGUGUAAAUUGAAGAAUCGCAUUCGAUAAAAAUAAAUAAGAUAAAUACAAGUACUUAUAUUUGUUUUGCUAGGAUUCACGAAACAUGUAAGCAUUAUGUCUCCAGUUCCUGACAGACCAGUUACUCUAGUAGGCUUUGCACCCAUCUUCAAGAAACAAAUUGGGGGAAGAGAAACAAGACAAGCAGAACACACGUCAGUUUUGUUGGAGUAUUGGAAACUCUACAUUGAUUGAAUGUAAAUCUUAAAUCGAAGUUGAGUUAAGCUUAGAAUGAUAUCAAAAUCUAUCGUAACAAGAUUUGUUUGGUUUAUCAUGUCAGGUUUAUUAUGUCACCUCCCAUUGGACACUCACAAAUAUCUAAUCACAUGUUCAAAAUAUUCAAUCUUAGACAUGCUUUACAAAUCUCUCAUUAUAAGUUAAGUCAGCCCACUUACAGGAAGAAAAUGUGCAUGUGUACACCAAUGUGGGUGUCUACUAUUAUGUACUUAAGUAAAAUUAAUGUGUUUAAAGUAUCAUAAAAUCGAGACCUCCAACCAUUGAAAUGGCUAUAAACCAUCAGAACUCUAUUCUCCAUACUGUGUUAGCCAUUAUAAGCAUCAUUUACUCUCUGCCUUUAGCAAAUUAGACAUUGCAUUGUGUAUUUCUCCUACAGUUAGUCAGAGUGUUGAUAGUGGACAGAGGAAACCAAUUUAGUCUUCUAUGCAAUGAUUACUCGGAACAGAGAAAGUGAAGGGAAGGGAAGGGACAGUUUCUACCAUGUGCAUGCAAAGAAUUCUAAGAACUGGUUUAAUAGAGGUCAACUACCUUUGUUGCAAGCCACCGUAUCUCUGAACAGCCUUGCGAGACAAGAGCUGCCAUUGAGUUAUUACUUACCAAGAUUCAUACCUUCUACUAUCCCAGCUGCUAUUACAAGCACAUUCUUGAGUGCACCAGCUAUUUCAACUCCUGUAACAUCACUGGAGUUAUCAGAGAUUACAAACUGAACAUUUGCACCAAUAUCUGUAGUCAUGCAACAUACCAUACAUAAAACAAACAGAGGGUAGGACAUAAUAAAAGUAGGGGAGAAAGUGUAAACUAAAGAGAACUACAAAAAAUCCAGACAAAAACAAAUCAUUGACAUAUGAGAUUCAAUUUCAUGGAUGAAUCUUGUGAAGGUCAUCUACCUUGAUGUUCUUUUGACGCCACCACCAUUGCUGUUAUUAGAAAAUGGAACCAAAAGAGAAAAUGGACUUUUACAAAUGUCAAAAUGCUGAGAGUCAUCAUACGUAUUGUAUUUGACAGCAAAGAUUCAAACUUAAUGAAGCAUCAAUUACUACUACUAUUAACUGUUAACAAGUAUGAAUAAACUUAAUGUUGUGUCAUAUAUUUCCUCUAUUACUAUACUGCUAUGAUACAUAUGUAGAAACCCUACUUAACCAUUUUGAAGUAUUGCAUGUCUUAUAUAUAGAGACUACUCAGUAGUAAAAUUUUAGUUUACUCUUUUCCUGUACUGCAAGUCAGAAUAACAUACCCUUUGUAUCUCACAAUGAUUUAGUGGGUUAAUUAAUAUUUUCAAUAGAAUGAAUAAAGAAAAUUAUUAUUUCUAUAUAUUAAAUAUUCAAAUUUAAUUGUAAAUAUUUACUAUUUAAAUUAUAUUUUAUUAUACAUUUCUAUCCUUUAAACAAUGUAAUAUAAAAAUAAUUUUAAUAAAUCGUUUUAAUAUUUUAUACAUGUAAUAUAAAAACAAAAAAAUAGCAUAUGUUGUAUUUCUCAUGAACUUGACAGGCUCAAUAUUUUAUUUCAGACUGCCUUACUGCACCUCCAUCACUUUCACUUCUUCGGCCACCUACAUAAAUUUUUAAAUUCCCAAAAUUACCUUUCAAUAAAACAUAAAAAUAGAAACAAUAUUUUACGCUAUGAAUUAUAUAAUCCGAAAAUAAAAAAUUAUAACUUUUGGAUUAUGUAAUCCAAAACCUAUUUAACAACACAUAAUACCAGAUUACAUACUCCGAAAUUUAUUUAACAAAAUAAACCUACUAGAUUACGUAAUUAAGAAGUAAAAAAUUAUCACUUUUGAAUUACGUAAUUCAAUAUUGUUAGUUUUUAAUUUUUGACUUUUAGAUUACGUAAUUCAGAAGUGGUAAUUUUUUACUUUUGGAUUACAUAAUCUGGAAGUGAUAAUUUUUUACUUCUGGAUUACGUAAUCCAGAAACUUCUAGAUAACAUAAUCUGGUAGAUUUAUUUUUUAAAAUAAGUUAUGAAUUACUAUUGUGAGUUGUUAAAUAGGUUAUGGAUUACGUAAUCUAGAAGUUGUAAUUUUUUACUUGGAAGUUGUAAUUUUUGACUUUCAGAUUACAUAAUUCACAAUGUAAAACAUUGUUUCUAUUUUUUUUUUUUACUAAAGGAUAAUUUUGAAAAUUUUAAAAUUUAUGGAUGUGGGCUGAAGAAGUAAUGAAGAAGCAAUCUAUUUCAUCAUACCAAAUUGCUAGCACACCUGCUAAGUUCAACCCAUGUUUGUCAUUCUUAUUUAGAAACAGUUGAACAAAUAAGUUAAGAAAAAAAAACAUUAAAAAUAAAAGAAAAAUAUUUUAUGGGAAAAUAAAAUAAAAACUAUUUUAAAUAUUUAGUUUAAAUUUUAAAUAUAAUUAAUUUUAUUACUAGCAGAAAGAUAAACAUUGACAUGUGUGCAUCCAGAUUUUUUUACUAUCUUAUUUUAAUAAGUUAGUAUUUGAUAUUUAUAUUAAUUUUAUUUUAUGUAUUCAUUUAAAUAAAUAAAAAAUUAUUAUUUUUAUAUUUAAUGUGUUAAUUAUAAUUUGAAUAAAAUUAAUAUGGCAGGAGUAAUAAUAUUUGAAUAUUUAUUAGGAAAUAUAGAUGUGUAAGAUAAUUUGAAAUGAUUCAAUAAUAUAUAUUCUUUGGGAAUUGAAAAUGGAUAAAAGAAGCGUGGCAUUUUAUCUUACUCAAAGAUACCCAAAUCUCUGGCAAAGUCUCUCAGUGUGAAGCUUUAACAAUGGCGGCAGUGUUGGAAGCGCUAUUGGCAACUCCAUUGUUUUCUUCAAAGCCUCACAACACUAAUUCCCCUCCCAACUUCCACACUUUUCCUUCUAAACCCAUUCUUCUCACCCUUCGCAAUACGCACUCUCAUUCUUGUCUCGCAAAUGCUUCUCCUCCUCAACACCCGGCCCCAGCUUCCCUCCCUCAACCCGACCCGAAUCGUGACCGCCGGAGAAUCGUCCGGGUCGCCUGGGAGAAAAUCCUCCGCUGGUCCAGGUCUUGGCGCUCCAAGGCCAACACUGACAUCCUCCAACGCACCAAUAAGGUCGCAAUUUAUUUCAGAUUAUGAUUGAAUCAAAUAAAAGAAACUGUCACACACAUUUUGGUUUAUCGCUUCAUUGUGUUCAAUUACUGUUUCAGAUUUUUGUGAACCACUGCAUCUCAUGCUAUAUCUGAUAGAAUACUUCAGCCAAUUUACCAGCUCCUUUGGAGCAUAGUUGAUUAUAGUUGUAAGCUUAUUGAAAAUGAUUGAAUUAAUAAUAAAGAAGAGGAUUAAUUAAGUUUUAACUUUCUUUGUUAUUUUCAAUUCAAUUAUCUAAGGUUUUUUUUAUUUUCUUGUAACUAACUUAUCAUAUAGUCCUUCUUAUUUCCAUCUUCUUGUGUUUAACGUGCUGAAUCAACUCAUUAAAAAAACCUAUAUUUAUGAUGUAAUUAAAACGUAAUUAAGUCUAAUAAAGAAAAUAUAGCAAAUAUUUACUCUCUUCUAGUGAUUGUAUGUCUGAAUGUUGAUAACAUGAUAUGGUGUUUGCGAGUUUCGUUUUGGUGUUUUGUGUGGUAGUGGUGCUGAGAGAUUUGUUUUUUGGGUGAAAAAAGGUGGUUGUGCUUGGAGGGGGUUCGUUUGGGACGGCAAUGGCUGCACAUGUGGCAAACAGAAAGGCUGAGUUAGAGGUGAAUAUGCUUGUUCGGGACCCUCAAGUUUGCUUGUCUAUCAAUGAGAACCAUUUUAAUUGGUAACCUUUUUUUGUCUGUGCUCAUAGUCUGCACUAGUACAGGUUAACUUGUGAGUUGUAGUAAUCUAAUUUUGUUAUCUGUAUCUCUCUUAGGUGACUGUUUUUGUAUUCUUUUCUUGGGCAGUAAGUACUUUCCAGACCAUAGGCUGCCAGAAAAUGUAGUUGCCACGACUGAUGCCAAAUCUGCUUUGCUUGGUGCUGAUUACUGUCUCCAUGCCGUACCUGUUCAGGUCAUUUCAUUUUUAUGAUUAUUUUUUACUUUGUCAAUUUGCGUAUUAGUAGUAGGAAAGUAAGUAGGUCUUUGGGUAAACUUCUCUCCAUAAACUUGUUUUUUAUUUACAAUAAUUGAACAUGAGUAUAAGGAGGUUGACGCUAACUUACAUAUUCAACUAACAUCACUACUUUGUUACAUACAGAAAAAGAAAAUAAAAGACAAUGAAUCAAGCCUUUUUUGGUUCGUUAAAAUCAAUGACAUAGUGGUUUGAAUUGAAUUCUUCAGAAAUACACGUAGAAGACUAAAAUAGAAAAAAUAAUCAAAAUUUGAUUUUAUUCUGAAGUUAAAAUCAAUGUAUUUUUUAAAAGCUAGAGGAAAGGAUUCUUUUAGAAGAGGAAGUGCAUAAAUUGAUCUCAACUUAUGAUAACUCUUGACAUUUGUAAAAGAUAUGACUGUCUAAUUGUUUGUUUCUGUUAUUGCAGUUCAGUGCAUCUUUUCUCGAGAGUGUUGCAGAGUAUGUUGAUCCAGGCUUGCCAUUCAUUUCUCUGAGUAAAGGCCUAGAGCUGAAUACACUGAGGAUGAUGGCUCAAAUUAUUCCUCAAGCACUACGAAAUCCUCGCCAGCCUUUUGUUGCACUAUCUGGGCCUUCUUUUGCUCUGGAAUUGAUGGAUAAGCUACCCACAGGUGACAAUGAUGUUGCUACAUGUGUGUGCACAUUUUGUUUCUUUGAUGGUAUCUAUGAUGAAAGUCAGUCCAUUUUGUCUUUUGGUUCCAUUUUAUAAUAACAGCAAUGGUGGUGGCGUCAAAAGAUAAAAAAUUGGCUAAUACAGUUCAGCAACUACUAGCUUCAAGUCAUCUAAGAAUCAGCACAUCAAGGUAGAUGACCUUCACUAGAUUCAUACAUGAAAUUGAAUUUCAUAUGAAAAUGAUUUGUUUUUGUCUGGAUUUUUUGUAGUUCUCUUUAGUUUACACUUUCUCCCCUACUUUUAUUAUGUCCUAGCCUCUGUUUUAUGUAUGGUAUGUUGCAUAACUACUGAUAUUGGUGCAAAUGUUCAGCUUGUAAUCUCUGAUAACUCCAGUGAUGUUACAGGAGUUGAAAUAGCUGGUGCACUCAAGAAUGUGCUUGCAAUAGCAGCUGGGAUAGUAGAAGGUAUGAAUCUUGGUAAUAACUCAAUGGCUGCUCUUGUCUCACAAGGCUGUUCAGAGAUACGGUGGCUUGCAACAAAGGUAAUUGACCCCUAUUAAAACGGUUCUUUGAAUUCUUUGCACAUGGUAGAAAGUUUCUAGAAACUCUUCCUUCCCUUUCUCUAUGCCAAGUAAUCAUUUCAUACAGGACUAAAUUGGUUUCCUCUUAAAUGGCUGUCUAUUAUCAACACUCUGACUAACUGUAGGAGCAAUACUUAAUGCAAUGUCUAAUUUGCUAAAUGAAGAGAGUAAAUGAUGAAUAUAAUGGCUAACACAGUUUGGAGAACAGAAUUCUGAUGGUUUAUAGCCAUGUCAAUGGUUGGAGGUCUCGGUUUUGAUGAUACUUUAUAUUAAUUUUACUUAAGUACAUAAUAGUAGACACCCACAUUGUUCUUGUAAGUGGGUUUGACUUAACUUUCAAUAAGAGAUUUCCAACACAUGCUUUUGUGUCAAUGAUUGAAUAUUUUGAACGUGUGAUUAGAAAUUUAUGGGUGUCCAAUGGAAGGUGACUUGAUAAACCGAACAAACCUUGUUAAAAUAGCUUUUGAUAUCAUUUUAAAAAGAUACUUUACUUUAAGCUUAAAUCAACUUCAUCUUAAGGUUUACACUCAUAUGUAAUUUAAUCAUAUCUCCAAUGUAGAGUUUCCAAUACUCCAACAAAACUGACGUGUGUUCUGCUUCUGCUUGUCUUGUUUCUCUUCCCUCAAAUUGUUUCUUGAAGAUGGGUGCAAAGCCUACUACAAUAACUGGUCUGUCAGGAACUGGAGACAUAAUGCUUACAUGUUUCGUGAAUCUUUCAAGAAACAGAACAGUUGGUGUGCGGCUUGGAUCAGGUGAGAAGCUUGAGAACAUACUCAGUUCCAUGAAUCAGGUAUCUAAGAAGUUUCCAACUGAUCAUUCUUAAAUUUCUAGCAAGUGGCAUAGUUUCUAAAAUGAUUAUCUUAUCUUAUUCUGCAGGUAGCAGAAGGUGUCUCCACAGCCGGAGCUGUGAUUGCUUUGGCGCAGAAAUAUAAUGUAAAGAUGCCAGUCUUGACAGCAGUUGCUCGUAUUAUUGAUAAUGAACUUACUCCUAAGAAAGCUGUGUUUGAGUUAAUGAGCCUCCCUCAGGUUAUUCUCACCCUCCUUUAAGACCAACUCUAUUCUUUUUUAAUAUUGAGAUUACACAUUUGAUUGAUGACUAAUUUUGAUUAUAGGUUGAAGAAGUAUGAAAGCUUCCAGCACAUCCCUUACUACCAGCUGCUUUUUAACUGCUGCUUAUAAGAAAUUCAUGUACUCAAUUCUUUUCACCAUUGUGCUUCUAGUGCUGAAGUCUUGGUGACCAAAAUUUUGAACAUUCUGGGUUGUUGCCCCAUACAGUCAUUAGAUUCUAGAUAAUGCAAAUCUCACCUCAAUAUAUACUUCUAUACGAUGACUAUACUUGGAGCCACAAAUUUGCAUCACUCUCAUCAAUGCCAUUUGUUUGUGCAACUAUCCCUUUGAUAUGAAUGGGUUUUACUAGCUUCUUUGCCCAAGUUGGUGAUUUUUUCUUGACUUUACACUAAGUGUACGGUAAGCACUUGUAAUCAUUAGGUCAAAACAGUUCUAAUGAGGUCCAACUUUCUCUAUUUUAAGAGUUUAAUAGUUUAAAGUAUCACAAUUUGAUAAUAAUUUGGUCUAUCUGACCUAUAGCACAUCAUGCAAUAAACUCUCUUUCAAUAUUAUUCCACUAGAAUCAAACUCUUCAAUUUUCACUUAUUUCACUUAAUCUAAGUUGUAGAACAUUUAAUGCAGUCUAUAACAAUCUUCUCUUUUUCAAAUAGAUCAAAAUUUUAAAAUAGAUAUUAUUGUUUUAUAUUUACUCAGAAAAUUAUUAUAUUUUUUAUUUACUUGUCCUUCUAAAAAGAACUCAGGCUUAUAGACAUGGAGUCAAAGUUUACACACCACAAUAGUGUAAUAAAUUAAACUAUAUAUCAGUUGUUAUUCAAAACCAUAAGUUUAUAUAAUACAUAACUACUUUACCUAACGACCAUUAAUAACCAGAACUAUUGUUUUUCUAAUUAUCCGUAAGAAGAAAUCAGGCUAAUAUUAUAUCUUAAGUCAGAGCUUUAUCAGAAUUGAAUUUUAAACAUUUUAUUGUCUUGUUUCUUUAUUUUUCAAUUUAGUUUUCUUACUCUUAGAUUCUUCUCCUUUAUUUUACGCACUAAUAACAUAAAAAAAAAUAAUACUUUAGUAGCUGUAUAAAAUUCGUAUGUACUUACUAUUUCGGAAAAAAAAAUUAUAAUCUGACAUUUAUUGCUCUCUGUCACAAAAUAAGAUCUGGGGGUUGUAACUUUAUCAGCAACAAUUAAUAUGUUUGGUAGUAAACUUAAUGAUAGAAUAUAAUAUAAGUAAUGUUUCACUGACUUUUCACUACAGUUACAUAUAAUUUUCUAAAAUUAAAUUUUAAUUUAUACUUUUUGCAUCACUUAUCGACUUCCAUUUAUCCAACUUAGAUUUAUUAAUAUGUAAUAGAAGAAUUUGAUUUAUCUUAAAUAUUCUCAUUUUUUACUAUAAAAGGUAUGAUGUUAUCUCGUUCAAGAUGAUUUUUUUGUUAUAUUUCAUUAGUAUAUCAAUUUUAAUUUUACAUAUUAAUUUAAUUAAAAUUGAAUAACAAUUUUUUUUUAUAAUAUUAAAUAAAUUUCUAAUCCAAUGUAAAACAUCAAUUAUUUUUACUACACUGUUAAUAUUAAAUUUAAAUCUUAAUUUUCUAAAUAAAUUAUAAAUUUUAUUUUUAAUAUUAAUCUAAAAUUGUAAUAAAAACUAAGAUUUUAUUUUAAAUUAUAACCUUAAUAUUAAUAUUAAAUUUACAAUCUGUAAAAAUAUAUAAAAAAACUAUUAUUAAUAAAUAGUUUCUAAAUUGAUAUUUAAUUAGCUAUCAAAAUUUUAAUAUCAACUAAUUAGAUUGUAAAGUUGGUAGCUAAAAUGUUUCACAAUCAAACAUUUACACACAAAUACACUUACCACAUAGAUAAUCUGAAGAUAAAUGUCUAUUAAAAGUCACUAUGUUAUCACUUGAACGAGUAACUAUCGCUUAAGCGACAUAAUUCAUUAAAAUACAAUAAUACAUAAUUCAUUAAAAUACAAUAAUAUUACACUAAUGCUUGAGUGAUAUAUAUUUGAAGGAGAGAGAUUUGAAAUUUUCUCAUUUUAACUACAAGCAUGUCGCUUAAGCAACAACUUAUAUUAUUUAUGUGAUAGAGAUAAUACUUGAGUGAUGAGACUCUUUGUGUAUGUUAUAAGUUUUUCUAGAACUUCAUCAUAACACUAGCCUUUCAUCGAUCAAGUGACUAAAUAUCUAAGUUCUAUAAGAGAGAGACUUAAGUGACUAAGUAAAUUUUUAAACAACCAAGAGAUACUUAGUGUUCUACAUAUAACAACAGUUUAACGCAACAAAUUUUAUUCCACCUUAUACAACAUAUUAACUCAAAUUUAAUUAAAAUAUACUUAAUUAAUUAGUUCUCUUACCUUCCUACUUGUUCUCUUUAGGAGUUUAUAAAAAAAACUUAAAAAAGUUAUAGAAAGCUUAAUUUCUUUUAUCCUUUAAUUCACAAACCAAACAUAUUAUUAAGUAAAUAGUUAAAAAUUUAUCUAUUUAACUUUCACAUCACAAACGGUACAAAAACUCUCACCUCCAAUAAAAAAAAAAAACUUGAGAUAAAAAAGAAAGAAAAAAACUUGUUCGAAAUAAAAUUUUGAUUAGUCAAACUUCUUUCUCACUUCAUCGUCUUACAAGUAUUAUCUGAUCAUAAAAAAUAAUUGGUCCAAAAAAAAUUUAAAAAUAGAAAAAAUAAUAAACAAGUCUUAUAAAUAAUUAACCAAAAAAUUAAGAUUUUAUAUAUAAAGUCAACAUGACUCAAAAUUUUGGCAUUUAUUGUUUUAAAAUCAUUAAUACUAAAUAUAAAACCUAGUCUUAAAUAAAAGUAAAAUAAAAUAUUAUUAUUAAUAAAAAAAUAAUAUUUCAUUAUUUAUAUUUUUAUUAUUCAUAUGUAAAUAAUACAAAAUCAGAAUGGUAAUGGUUAGUUAUGUAAUUAAAUAUAGUCAUUAUAAUGUACAUAGUAUUUGUAGUUUUAUUGAAAGGAAGUUCUACCCAAGGAAUUGUCUCCUUCAGACACCAUUUUCUCUACACAAACCAUCGUAUUCAUUUGUAGUCACCAUCUACUCUCACAUUUUCGCUUUGAUUUUUCUAUGAUUGUGUUUUUCCUUUUUUUGUUUUCUAUUGUUCUUGAUUUACGUAGAAACUGGGUGGGGGUUUCUAGAAGGAGCACGAUAGCAGAAGAAAAGACCAAGAAAAGAAGAGAAAGGGAAAGAAAAAGAAAACACCAAAGAACUGGAAGAAUAAAUGACUUGGUUCUGUCGAUUAUUUUAUUUAUAACAUUAUAAAAAAUGUAUUUUUUUGAAUUCUUCAACUCGUUGGAACAUAAUUAUUUUUGUGAAAUAUUUACAUAUGAUCAUUUUAAAAUGUUAUCAAAAGGCACAUCUUGUUACCUUUUUAGUGUUGUUUUUAAUUAAAAUACGAAUUUUAUUUCAAUAAUUUGCAUGGUAAAACUUGUAUUAGAUAUUAAUGUAGAUAAAUGCAAUAAACUUUAAUUCUGAUCAGAUUACAAGAUUACCUAAAUUACAUAGAAUUUGGGAAAUUAUUAUGGUGGUGUAUGAUUAGUCUAAUAAGUAUUUUUUUUUAUCUACACUGAAUAAACUAAAUUAAAUUGAUACUUUAGGGUUUAGGGGUCAAAUGAGAAAAUCGGAGAGCCUCAAUAAGUUUUGAGGAUAGACCCCUUUGUUUUACACCGAGAAGAAAUCAUCAACUCGUAUACAAAAAUCAAGAAGUUCACACUCCCUUAUAGCUUAGAACAAUACAAGACAUUCCUAGACCACAUUCAUAUAUUUUUAUCAAUAAUCCUCAACACCUAUACAACCAGGUUAACUACACUAAGUGCUAGAAUAAUAAAGACUCAAAAAGAAAAACUGAUACAAUAGGUGCAUAAAGUGAUCACCCAAUUUGUACUUGUAUAAUUUGUCCUACAUUCAGUAUAUAAAGGUAGUCAUGUACCAUUCUGUUGUUCCUUCAUAUAUAUACGUGUGCCUACACAAUAAAUCAGCUUUUUUUAAAGGUCAGAAUUUGCAAUAUUAUGCAUAGAGCAGCUCCAAAAUAAUGGCCCUUGUAGCAUUAUCACCAAUGUCCACUACACGACCUUUUCUUCCUCUUUCAUAAGCUCUCAUAUCCUUUAAACUAUGACUUCCUUCAUUCCCUGUAAAAUGAAAUAACUACCUUCCUAGCCUUUCGGCUAAGACAUAAAAACAUAAUAACAAUAGAAAUAAACAAGGUAAUGCAACAACUAACACCUACCUAUGAUGAGGAUCCAGGAGAGAAUGCGUCUACUGACCAAACUCAACCUCUGAGGUGGAAAACUAGGAGCAUGCCUCAAGACAUAGGGUCAGGUCAAGAUUCCCCAGUCACUACCUCAACACCUAGUUUGCCCUCAGAGGAUCACGAGGAGCAGAGCACAAGCCUUGGGUGGUGAGCAUCAGUUGGUUUCAUUAUUUUUAAUUUCAGUAGAAUAUGUAUCAUUUAGCAUGAAAGGGAGGGGUGCACUAUCACUUUAGCUUGUUUUGAGCUAUCUUCUAGAAGAUUGAGACUAGCAUGUCGUAUUGACCAUGGUCAAUGACCUAGGCCGCACCUUAUUUUCCUUUCCAUCAUACCCCUCUUGCUUGUUUUCCAAGGCUCUUUCACUUAUAAAUAGGAGGUCUCCCUCAUUGUAUGUACAUGUUGAAUUUAAAUGAAGUAAAGAAACUCUACACAAAUUGUGUGAGCUCUUAGUGAGGCUUAUGUCCUCUUAGGUUUGAGGUCUUAUCUUGAGUGAUUUGGGAAGCUCUCAAGUGGUGGUCAACACACCCAUCUUGGAGAUAGCCACCCUCUAAGUGGCUUGAUUUUUCUCACCCACCACCAUAAGUUUUCUCAUUCCAUUUCCUUCCAUUUCUCCAUUCCAUUUAGGUUUUUCUCUCUUAGUUUCUUAUUUAUUGCUCUUGGGUUUCACUCAUAAUUAUGAGUAUGGUGCAUCAUUUGGUGCCCAUUUCAAUUCGCAAAUUGCAUCUCAUUCUCGCCAUUUUGUUUUUCAUCUUUGCCUCUGUGAAGUGAACUUUCACACUUACUUAACCACUUGAUUAAGUUCGUGUCAGUGGGAAUCUUCCUUAGGUCCUCACCAUUAAUUGUUAAAAUCUCAACCUUAAGUAAAAGUGUCACCAUAAAUGAAAACAUCUAAAAAUCAACUCCCUUAAUAUGUAUUUGAAUUUUAUCUACUUUAGUAUUUUACAUAUAUUAAAAAUAAUGGAUUUUUAUUCCCUUGUCUAAAAUUAAAGCACAUGAUUCAUAAUUUUCAAUAAAUAAAAAAAAUAAAAAAUUAAUUUUACAAAGCAUACAUUAAUUAGUUGAUCUUAUACAAAAAUUAAUUUCAUGAAUUAAACAUAUAUUGAAUCCUAUUAAGCUCGCUCAUUAAUUACAUGGCACAAAAAUCUGGAAACAUUGACCAACCAAUAUGCUGUUCUUCUCUAGAUCCAUGAAAGAACAAAACAUGUAAAAGGUGGUGAUUGAAUCCAUUAACAAAAUUCAUCAUAAUUAUACAUAACUAAAUUUCUUAUUUAUCGUAUAGGCUGGGGAUUAUGGGAAUUAUUAUUUUUGUUCUAGGUCGGUUGAUUGUGUUUGGUCUUCUCUUCACUAAAUUAAACGAUUUUAUUAUUUUCUUUCGCUAUUUUCCUUCUUUGCAAACUCUUAACUCUUAGUUUAGAUGAUAUUUGUAAAAGAUACUGUAAAAGUGAGAUCUUAGUGUUCAGUGUAGUUAAUAUACGUGAUGAUAUAUAUUUUUCUUAAAACUCAUGACUAUUUAUAUGAUUAUUAUGAACUCAUUUGUUAUUAGUCGAAUUAACGUUUAAAUAUAAUUAAGAGGACCUCACCUACGGUUUAAUCUCAUAGUGAUGAUUUCUCAGUUAAGAGUACAUUCUCUUUGCAAAGUAGAAAAUCAGUGAUCUUAUAAUUGUUUUUGUUGUUUAGCAGCAUGAAGAAGAGAACACUAUUCCACAAACAAUUUGAUCAACCAUAAUUUUAAUUAUUCUCUAGUGACAUAUUACAAUAAGCUCUUAAUAAGAUUAUACACACCACACACAAAAAUUAAUGUUAAAAAUAAAAAAUAAUUAAUUACAACUAAAUUAUAUACUAUUUUAAAAAUUAUUAAUAUUUAAAAUAAGUUUUAUUAUUAAUUUCUAUAUUAACAUCCAAUUAGUUACCAAUUUAAAAAUGAAAAUUAACUUAUAAAUUUUUCUAAUAAUUAAAAGCGACUUUAAAUACUAAUAAUUUGUUUUAGGAAAAAAAUUACACACCAACAAGAAAGCUUAGGAAACCAAGAACUAUAGUUCUAAAAGAACUUAUCUUGGUCAAAGUGAAAGUGAGGAUAAAGAAGAACAGAUGCCACCUCACCAAAAUCCAUGUCCAAGUUAUGAGAGUCUGUACAUGAAUACACAUUAUCUGCGUUGUUAUCAGGUGCCUUCCUUAAGGGCAUAAUGGUAGAGUUGGAUGCUUCAGAUUCCUUCCAAUAUUCAAGAAACAUAUUGUGAUCAGUAAGAUCACUUGGUGUGUGAAUUUCUUUGCUAAAUUCUGGUUUUAUAGCUAAGUGUGGUGAGCUAAUGAGAUGAUCUUGUGCAUUGGAGUCACGAUCAGAAUGCAGAUGAUAUGAUUCCCAAGAGGAAGAAUCUGUGGUUGUGUGUGGAACCAUAGGAAUGACAUUGCAUGUGUGAAUACCAAUGUACGUAAUUCGAUACAUAUGUGGAUUAUCAUGAUCCAGUUGCACCUGUUUGGUUGCUUUACAACCCUGAUCAUUCUUGUAACUGCACCUGAAGUAACUCCUACAAAUCAUUAUUAAGAACAAGGUGAGUUAGAUGACUAAUCUAUGGAAAAAAAAAGACUUGUACAAUGAAAUCUUCUAGAUUAAGGUUUGAUGUACCUAUUGUGUGAUCAUGUUUUGGAAUACUAUAUCAGAAUUAUAUAUCUUUUCAUGGAAAAAUAUAAAAAUAAGAUCAUAAAGAAAAGCAAUGAUAACAAUAUACCUAGGAAAUUCAGAAUUCUGGAUUUCCUUUUGCCCAUACUUCCUCCAUGCAUAAUUAUCAUCAGUGGUGCAAGAGACUAUGGUCUUUCUCAGUACACCCUUGCUGCACAACAACAACAAACCAGGUGCAAGAGACUAUGGUCAUUUCAUGUGUAUUAAUAUAAAUAACAUAACACAUGUUUUUCCAUAUAUAGAAAAAGAAGAUAAAAACAUACUGCAACAUAUCUGGAAUCUGUAAAAUGCAUCUGUGAAACAUAACAAGGAGUUAUAUAUUAACCCUCUUGGAUCUGACCUCAACUUUGCUAUCAGCAUGUUUAUAAAUUCAUCAAACCAACAAAUAUAACCUCAAAAAAUCAAAAACAUUAAGUGAUCUGAAACAUGACACACAUUCUAUACUUAACUAAAAAUGAGUUAGAUCUAAGUUAUGUUUACGAUUUGCAUCUCCAACAACAGUACAUCCGUACACAUCCAAAUUCCUCAGGCCCUCUCUCUGAGUAACCCAAUUUCUAGGAACAAAGAAGGGUUUGUUACUUGAACUAUAAAACAUGUGUCAGUGUGAAUGAUGAGAAAGAGAAAAUGUAACCUUCUAUUGUAGCGACCUCUCCCACCCUUUUGGGAUCUCUUCUCACUGCAAUGUGGAGACGUUGGAUCAAUGCCGGAACCGGUCACCGGCGACCCAUAUUGGGUGGAAUUCAGACAAGCCACCACAUCUGCUGAACUGGGUUCUGAAGAAAUGAUAGAAAGAGAUUGUGUGAAAGAUGUGAGAACAAUGGCCAUGAGUUGGUGAUAAGAGAGAGAGGGUUCACUCCCAGAGGGUUUCUGAAGCAGAAUCUUUAGCUCAGUAGCAGCUUCUUUACCCUUAACAAUAUUUUUCAUUAUCUCUCUCUUCUUCUUUGCAUCAGUUUCAGUACAAAUCAUGUUUUUCAUUGCCUUCGCUUUUUCUUUUACUGUCUUUUUUUCUUUGCUUCUUUUGGUCUAGAUUUAUACUAUGGAGAAGAAAAGGAAAGAGGGAGAGAUAGAAAAUAAAAUUUGUCCUCGUUCUGAAGAAAAAACUUUUGAUUUGACAGUUUUAAAAAAAUUUAAUAAAAAAAUUUCUCUUUCAAAAGGGAAUUGAAUGGGUUGAACAAUUGAAUUUGGUCGGUCGUUGGUUGAUAUGCAUUCUUUCUUUUUAUUCCUCAGACUCGUUCAACUUUUUCUUUUCUGCUCUGCUUCCAUUUCUUCAUUAAGCUCUCCUUUCCGAUGGCUUUCAAAAAUGGAAGGACAUAAUUGAAUUAUAUUAUUAUUGAAUUGAGAUUAACGUAUAAAUUAUGAUUAAAAAUAUAUUAUUUAAUUUUUAAUACAAUUUAAUUUUAUUAAUUAUUAUUUUUAUUUUAAUACAUUUUAAAUUAUCAAUUUUUAGAGAAAAAAAAUAAUUAGUUGCAAUAGUAAUUAAAUUAGAAACUAUUUUAGAAACUAAAAAAAUGGUUUCGUUUAUAUUAUUGUUAAAUAGUUUCUAAAUUGGUAUGUAAUUAGCUACCAAAUUUCUAAAUUGGUAUCUAAUUAGUUACCAAGGUUUUAACUAUUAAUUAUUUAGAUUCUAAAUUUGGAAGAAAAAUUUUGGUUGCUAAUUAGAUACCAAUUUAGAAAUCAUUUAACAAUAAUAAAAACUAAUUUAGAAACCAAAAUUUUUUUUAGUCUCUAAAGUUGUUCUUAAUUUAGUCAACUAAUUAUUUUUUAUCUCUAAAAUUGGUUUCUAUUUCAUGAUUUGUCUUUGUAGUGUAAAACUCGUGAGACUUAUGAUUCUAACCAAAAUAAAUUUAUAAUUAAAUAAUAUAAAAAAUUAAAAAUAAUAAUAAUAAUAAAUAUUUAUGAUGGGUGUAGAAAUAAAAAAGUGAAUUAUGUUAAUUUUGGAUAAUAUAAGUACUUUAUAACUUCAUUAUCAGUUCCUAGUCUGAAAAGUGAAACCCGCUAAUAUUCUUAUCCGAAAUAAAUAACUUUAUAUUCUACAGAUAAAAACAAUAUCUCGUUUAUUAAGUCGUAUAAUAAAUCAGUACGUAAAUUACUAUUUGAUCAUUCUAAAAUCAAUUACUUAAUAUUUAUAUUUUCAUAAAUCAAUUUAGUGUCCAGCUAAAGAAGCAUUCUUUUAUGUGUUUCGAUAGUGUUAUUAUGUGAUUAAAACAAUGAUUUUAUCUCCAUAAUAUUAUCUAUAAAAGAACUUGCACUAGAAGUUUAUACAAAUUGACUAAAUUAAACUUUUAUCAAAGAAUAUAACUUGUCCUUUAUUAGUGUAUAUAUAAGAAUACAAAAACCUACACAAAUAAAUAAUUUUUUAAAACUUGUUUGAUAUUUCAUUAUUAUAAAAUUAUUUUUAAAAAUUAUUUUUUUAAUGUAUAAGAUUUGAAUUUUUUUAAUUCACGUAAUAUAUUUAUUAUUAUUAUUAUUAUUAUUAUUUUUUGUGUAUCAUAUAUUAAAAAAAUUAAACGCGUUAUUGAAGAAGAGAUAGGGGCUCUUGACUGCAAUCUGUAGUUGACUGUGAGGAUAGGAAUGACGUCACUGCGCAACGUAGGAAUGACGUCACUGCAAUGAUAGGAAUUUUUUUUUCUUAAAACGAAAGCCUAAUAAUAGUACAAAUGAAUAAAUGUAUAUAUGAAAUUAAUAAUAUAAAGUUUCUAUUAAAUUGGGAAAAGAAUUAAUGUGUGUUAAUAAUAAAAUUAUAAUUUUUUUAGUUUUUUAAUUAAUAUUUUAAUGAUAUUUGUUAUAUCCAAUUUUGUUUCAUUAUUUUAUGUUAGUCCUUAAAAUCAUUGCUAAAAAAAAGAGUAAUUGUUAAAUAAUUUUGUAUUAGAUAAUUAUUAGAGUAUAUACUUUUCUUCUAGAAAUGGUGUCAAACAUCAAUUCAAUAAAAUUUGUCUUACAUGUUUAGAGUUCUUGAAAAUGGGAUAACGAUUGUACAAAUACAUAUAAUGAAAGUUGUGCAGGUUAGAUAAGGAUAAAUGAAGUACUUUGUACUUUUCUUGCAAGCAAUUAAUUAUCAUAUAUAAUUUAUUUAUUUUUUACUUUUAUUUUAUUUAAAAAAAAAACAUCUAAAAAGUUAAACUAAGUUAUUUUUCUGUUAAAAAAUAUUUUUUUUCUAAGAAAACUCAAACAAACUCAUCUUGACUUUGACGCAGAAAGUGAUUAUUUAAGUUAUUUAUUACUAUAAUUAAUAUAGAAUGUUUUGAUUUUCUACUUCAGAUGAGAAGUGAUAUAAAAAAAUCUAUAUAUCUCUUUCACUUGUUUAUAAAAUUUGUUAAAAAAUAAAUAAAGUUAAUAAUUCAUAAAAUUUACAAUUGAAGUAACGUUAUUUAAGAAAAAAACAGGAUAAAUUAAUGAAAUAAUGUUUUAAGUAUUGAUAAAAGUGACUUGAAAUACUUAAAAAAAAAAAUUAAACGUUUAUUUUAAUAGAUUUGACAAUAUUAUAGUUAAAUUUUACACAGAAUAUUUAAAUAUAUGUAGUAAAAGCUACAAAGUUAAAACAAAUAAUUCAUCUAAAAAAUAAUAUAUUAUGGAUAUUAUUACAAACAAAGCCAUUUUAAUAUUAAUGAAGAUCACAAUCGAGAUAGAAAAUCAAAAUUUUUAGUAGAGAAAAUAUUUUCAUGACAUAUAACAAACAUAUAAAACAUCACACUCAAUUGCUACACAUAAUCCACAACUCAUUCUAUACUUUUCAAGAAGUCUAUCAUAACAUUUUUGUGUGGGGUUUUUUUUCUAUUAUAUUAUAAAUUAAUUUUAUUCGUAAUAUUAUAAUUUUAGCCAAUUUCAGAAAUAAAGAUUAAAUAUAUCUAUGAUGGUUUAUUUCAAAAUAAAAAAGAAGAAGCAGCAGUAACUACCACUGCCAUAGACAGAAUCAAGACCAGGUCUACCUUCACGUCUCUUUUCCAACCAUUCACACUUUGUUCUUAAAUAUAUCUUCUCAACUUUUAAAAGUAUUUUUUAUCCAAUUUUUAUCAGUCUUUUACAUUUAAUAAUAAUAAUAAUAAUAAUAAUAAUAAUAUUAAUUAUAAUAUUAAUAAUAAUGUUAAUUAUAAUAUUAAUUAUAAUGUUAAUUAUAAUAUUAAUUAUAAUGUUAAUUAUAAUAUUAAUUAUAAUGUUAAUAAUAAUAUUAAUAAUUAUAAUUUAUUUUAUUAUUAAUAAUAAUUAUAUUAAUAUGUAUAAAUUAUAUUAAUAAUAAGUAUAAUAAAAAUGAUAAUAUGAUCAAAGAAUUUCUCUGGUCUAGUGGUUAAUGCUACCUUGGAUCACUGGAAGGAGUUCAAAUCCUGACUGUGUUUUCUAUCUAGUAAUAAUAGAUAUAAUUAAAAAGAUUAUUUUCUUUCUAUUUUUAGAAUUCCCCUUACAGUAACUUUUCCAUAUUUGAAUAUAUAUAUAUAUAUUUUGUAUAGAAUUACAAAAAUUUCAAAAAAUUUGAUAAAUACGCGGAACUAAAAAUUCAUUUCGAACAAUUGAACCUUCUCAAAUUAUUUUCAAAAUAAAUUUAAUAUACUGAUAUAAAAUAAAAUAUAUAAAUCAAGUAAUAUACUACAAAUUCCAUAACAUACAAUAAAUUAGAUAAUACUGAUUUUUAGUAGAGAUACGUAUUAAAUAUGAUUCAUAAACAAAAUAAUUAACUAUUAACAUUAUAAAUAAAUAUUAUUAUAAAAAAUAAAUUUUGAUUUAUCAAUAAAAGAGUUUUAUAGGAUUUUAUGAGUGUAUUUUACUUUUUCUUUUAUUGUAUUUUUGAGGAUGAAAAUACUAGGCCGUAUAUUUCCUAAGUCUAUCUUUUCCACCUAAUUUCUCACUAUUCAUAUUUUGUCCUUUUGGUAUAGAAUUGCAUGGCUUACACUCAUUCCACCAGAAUAAUUGAAAGGAAGAAAACAAAAGUUAAAUGCCUUCUGGGUUUGGGAACUUCAAAGAAUAAUUGAAAGGAAGAAAACAAGAGUGAACUGGGUUUGAGAACUUUAAAAAACAGACACCAUUAAUGGCAUGCUAUAAAACAAAAGGAAUUGUCUCAAUUUGAGGUAGAAAGAAUUUCCCAAAGGGUCUUUCUUAGUAAUAAUAAGUCUGCAAAGGUUGUUCAUAUAGCUGAGAGAAACAAAUUUACAACACCAUUGAUAUAAUACAAUUCUAUAUAUAGUAAUUUCUUGGACAUUAUUGUGUCCUAGUCAUGCAUUGGUAUUGUUCACAACAAAUUAUAACAGCAAAAACACUUGUUGCUGGGAAAGCAUCAAAGUAAAUAACCUGUAUUCUUGUUAAAACAAAUAAGCUUAGGAAACCAGCACUAGCAUGUGAAUGGGCAAUUUUUUUAGAAAUAGAAACUAUAAAAAAAAAACACUAACACAUUUCUUCACAGACCAAAUACUCGCUUGUAUAUAAACUAAAAUUUUUAAACCUAGUACGAAAUAAUUUAUAUAAAAUUUUCAUUUAUAAAUAAAUGUAUUUGAUUUUUCUUCUUAUUUAAAGUAUUUAUGAAGAAAUUUAUUAAUACACUUGCUCAAAGUGAAAGCCAGUGCCAAAAUGAACAGAUGCCACCACAAAACUCAUAUUCUGUGCAUGAAUACUCAUUAUCUGCAUUGUUGUCUGAGUUCUUCCCUUUGGUUCAAAAUGCUUCAAAUCUGAAGCAGACUAGGCUCCAAUGGCUUGUGAUCUGUAAGAUCUUUGAGAAAUUCUUGUUUUAUAGUUAAGGUUGGUGAGCUAAUGGGGGGAUCCUGUAGAAUAGAGUCAUGAUCAGAAUUCAGAAGAUAAGAUUCCCAAUUGGAAGAAUCUGUGGUUGAGUGUGUAGCCUUAGAGCAUGUGUGAAUGCCAGUGUAAGUAGUUUGGUACAUCGUUGGACAUUCUUGAUUCCUCUGCACUUGUUUUGUUGCUUGGCAACCUUGGUCAUACUUAUGACUGCACCUGAAGUAACUCCUACGAAUUAUUAUUAAGAACAAUGUGAGUUUGAUUGACCAAUAGAAUCUGUGUACCUUACAAGAUAUAAAGUCAUUGCACAUGGUGUAACAUCGAGCAAGAAAAAGAUACCAAAAUGUUGGUCAAGAUGAUUUACAAGUGUGAAGGUUUCUAUUGACCAUUGAUCGAUGUGAAGUUUUACAUAGAAUAUAGUUGCUUUUUCCACUACAUGAAAGUGACCUAACUAAAAAAUCAAUUCAAUUUUCCAAUUGCUGCCAGAGUAUGUUACCUGCUAAGUUGUGUGGCUGAGAAACCAUGUGAGGAGUAAAGAAUAAAGAAAGGAUUAUAAUAUGAGGACUCAUUCUAGAUAAUUCAUUAAAAACUGAAUGAAAAUACCAUAAAAAAAAUACAAUGAUAAUGAUUUCCUCCGUAUUUUCUAAUACAUGUUACACAUUAAAUAUCAAACCCUAAAUCCUAAAUCUUUACGAUGGUGCAGUUGAAAGUUUCGUCAUGGAUAACAUCAAAAGUAUACUUAACAUAUUUUUCUUAUUUUGAUUAGUGUUUAGAACCGUUGGUGUGUAUGAGAUCUAUUAAAAUAAAUUUAGUGAAAGGACGUGGGAAAAAACAAAUGGGUGAGUUCAAGAGAUGAGAGAAAAGAUAGGGAUGAGUAGGUUUGCUCAAGGUUAGAGGUUUUUUCCGAAUAGAUUCUUGUUUCUUGUAAAAAGGUUGAGGUAUCCUUGAAAUAUCUCCAUUUUAUAUAUUCUUGUUUUGCCAAAAAAAAAACAUUAAAUAUCAAAUUAUAUGAAUGAUAUAUUUUAAAUUUUUAAAAUUAUAAAAAUAUAUAAAAUCUUAAAUUUUCACCUAUUAUUGUUGUAAUUAUUAUUAUUACCAUUAUUAAAAAUCAAUAAUAUUAUUAUUGUUAUAUGUGAUUAUGCAAUGAUAGUAAAGGCAAAACUAAUUGUAAUGGUUAAAACCAUAAUUUUACAUCAUUCAAAUUAUAAUGUUAAUCACUAAAUGGUUAUCAUAAGCAAAAUUAUUACUUUUCUUUUGUAAAUAGGUUUUUCACAUACUAUUAUUGGUUACUGUUAGAACCAAUACACUAUAUACAUAUAACCAAUGUGAUAUCUAAUACUAAUCAAUAUGAUAUGUAGUAAAGUUUAAGGUAACAAAUCUUAUUAUUUCUCUUCGCAAAAUGUAUAUAGUGUCACAACACUCUCUUGUGAACACUCUCCCACUCUUACUCCCAUCUCUGAUCAUCUUCUCUCACACCAUUAUUAUGGAUUCUCACUGCUAUCCCACUCUUAUUGCCAUCUCUGAUCACUAUCUCUCACAUCAUUAUUAUGAGUUCUCACUAUCAUUGUUGAUCUUAUGUGUUACAAAUGUGUAUGCUCUUUGUUGUUUAUCCUACAAUAAUUAUUAACUAAAAAGUGGUUAUAUUAAUUAAAUUAUAUACUAUUUUAGAAACUAAAAAUAUUAUUAAUAUCUAAAUUAGUUUCUGUUAUUGAUAAAUAAUUUAUAAAUUGGUAUCUAAUUAGCUAUCAAGAUUUGAGCUACCAAAAGUUUAGAAUCUCAAUAAUUGGUAGUUAAAACUUAGACAGCUAAUUAGAUACCAAUUUAUAAACUAUUUAUCAAUAAUAGAAACUAAUUUAGAUAUGCAAUAUUAUUUGUAGUCUCUAAAAUAAUAUCUAAUUUAGUUAAUAUAACAACUAAUUAUCUUUAAUUUCUAAAGUGGUUUAUAUUUAAGGAUUUUUUAGUAGUAAUAUUAUGUGAAGAAAACAAGUUGGAUUAAGGUUGAGGUAAUGAAGGAAUUUUGAAAUAAGGGGUAGCCAAGAAGGUCGAAAUUGAGGUGGGUCUAGUUGCAGGGAAGUGAAGUGGUGAGAAAGGAGGGCUUCCAAAGGUGCAUGAAGUUGUGGCUAGCUGUGUUUAGAGUGGAAUAUCUCAAAGGCAAGAAAGGAGUUGUUGAUAAACAAUAUAGAAUAUCUAAAAUAAUAACAAGAAUAAGACUAUGUUAGUUGUAUUCUAACCUAAUUUCUAUUUCAAAAUAAGAUAUCCAUCAUCAAUAAAAUCAAUAAAAUAGGAUAGUUGCGAGACUGUAAAAAUAAGUUCAGAACCUGACUCAAAUAAAAUAUUAUCAUUAAAGUAAAAGUUAAUGAGUACUUUAUUACAAUAAUAACAUACUGAAAGGAAUUAAGGACUCAUUAGUUCUUAGUUUGCAUUAGAAUAAUAACAGUUUUUGUUACUAGCUUCUCCGCUUACAUACAUAUUUGACUGUAAUUUCUACACUUUUAGAAUGAUUAAGCCACUUAGAGGAUCAAUUGGAAGGUUGGAGGCAGCAGUUUUCUUAGAAUAGAGAUGUAAGGGAAAAAUGAAUUAAUGCAUCUACUAAUUAAAGAAAAAAGACAAUUACAAAUUAUGCAACUUAAUUACUAUGUAUACAUAAUGAUAUUUACAAAUAUAUAUUAUCUCAAUCUCCAUUGAAAAUAAAAAAAUGGAAAAUUUGUUGAAAUUUUAGAAAAGAUUGAGAAAUGUAUUGAAGUGUAUAGCAAUGUAGUAAAUCUAGAUUGUUGAGAGUAGUUUUGGAGAUGGUGGAUGGUAUGGCGGAGUUGUGAAUAAGGUAAUAAUUAAUUUAAUGAGUUAUUGAGUUUUGAUAAACUUGAAUAUAAUGCAAUAUGUCAUCAUAUGUGUCAUCACUUUAUAUUGAUAUAGAACUUUCUAAACUCCUCCAUUCUAGUUUUGUUUAUUUGUAAUGAACUAAUGGUAUUAAAUAAAAUGGGACAAUUAAGAAAUGUCUCAACCCAUAUACACAAUAAAAGCUAGAUACCUCCAAACCAGAACUCAUUAUAACUCAACAACAUAUCAUCUAAAAAAUCUAUAUACAUGUUAUGUAACAUGUGAAUGUAAUUAGAGAUUAUUCUACACCCAAUAAAUUUUUCUUACUUUUCUACAUUGUUCUUAUAAUUAUAGGAAUUGUAAAUAAUUAAUGAAUUUUUAUUUUCUUGAACUUUCUUAAAAUUUAUAUCAUAAAUUAACAUCAUCUUUUAUGCAAAUUUAAGAAAUUCCAAACAUAAAUCAUAUUGCUCAACCUAACUCUAGAUAGAACCUUAAUAAAUAUGUAUGCAACUUAGCUUUCUAUCUCAUAAUAUUUAAGUUAAAUUUAUUUAGCUUUAGCAAAUGUUUCAUUGUAGUCAACUUCUCAUUGUUAUGAGUAUCCUUUAGCACCUAGUCUUACCUAUUUUAUAUGGUGUCACUAGGAUUAAGUUUUGUUUUGUAAAUUCAUUUAAGUCCAAUGAUAUAUUUUCCAUGUGGACAAUACACAUUCUCAAGUAUUAUUCUUUUUUAUCAUUUUAAUCUCUUCUUCAAUUACCUUGAUCCAAACUUCUUGCUUUGUUAUUUAUUCAUAGUAUUAAAACUCAAGUAUUUUCAUAUUACAUGUUUCAUAUAUAUCCACCAAACAUCUUACUUGUCUUGAGUAAUCUCUACUGGAGAAUUUAGUUGUGCUAUUAGUAAAGAAGACAUAUUUGAAUUUUUUAUCAUUUCUUAAAUUUCUUCUUGAGGUUGUUGUACUAGAAUAAGAAAAGUUUUCCUUUUCCUCAAUUCUAAGAAGCACUUUCUUCAACUUCAACAUGUCUACUAAUGUUGAGCUUCUUUGUGUGUGGGUUGUAAACUCUACAAUAUUUUGUUGUGUGAUAUUUCUCAAAAAGAUUUCUCAUAUAGUUUUGUCUUCUAAUUUGUGUCUUUUAUGAUCAAGUACAUAUAUGCAAUAGAUGGAUGACUUUUGCUCACUCCAAGCUUCAACUAGUGUCUUGUCUUUGACUGAUUUUGUUGGACAUGUUGAGCAUGUAGACAACAAUGUAUAUCGUUUUAGCCUAAAAAGGAUUAGGCAAGUCCUUCAACAUUAAUCUAGCUAUCUUCAUGACUAAACAGUUCUUUAUUUAUGACACCAUUAUUCUACUAUUGUGAAUAUGCUACUGUAAGUUGUCACUUUAUUCCUUCAUAGAAUUUAUCAAACUCGUGUGAGUUAUAUGUUUACCACUUUGUUUCUCAACGAGAACUUUAAACUUCUUAAAUAUUCCAAACACUUCUUAUUCUUCUUUAAUGAAAUAAACCUGUAUUAUUCUAGAAAAAUCAUUAAUAAAAAAGAUAAAGUACACAUGUUAUUGUUUAGUGAUGAUGUCUUCAUCGGUCCACAAUUUUUUGUGUGAAUUAACUUCAAUAAGUCUUUUGUUCUCUAUGUUUUGUUAGUUGAAAACAAUAAUUUAUGUUAAUUUGAAGUAGACAUCCUUCACAUAAUUCAUUAUUUUCUUUCAGGAAUGACAAUCAUUUCAUCAUAUUCUUUUGAUAUAAUAACUUCAAAGUUUGGGUGUUGAAAGGACCAAAUCUUCAAUGUCAAAUCCAUGAAUCAUCAACUUUGACUUUCAUAGCAAUAUCAAAUCCAUGAAUCAUCAACUUUGACUUUCAUGACAAUAUUAGUGAAAUAUUUGAAGUUUAUAGGAAAACUUAUAUUUCUUUUCUCCAUUUAACUUCACCAAACUAUUGUCUUUUAUUGUCAUAGAUUUGAAAAGUAUCUCCUUUGAAGUGAAUGGUGUAUCAUUUCUCCAUCAUUUGACCAAUUCGCAAGAGAUUUUCCUUAUGAUUAGGAACAAGUAAGACCUCUUUUAUGAGGCUCAUACCUUUCUUUGUUUCCACCAUAACAAUGCCUCUUUUUUUUACUCCACUAGGUAGCGUUUUCCAAUCGAACUUUCACUUUGAUAAAGUUGUCAAUAUCCCCUGAAAAUGUUCUUAUCUUUGACCAUAUGAUUAUUGCAUUUGCUAUCCAAGUACCAACUUCCAUUUAUUUCAUAAUCAGAAUCACAAGCAACAUAUAAAAGAUGUUGCUCAAGGGUAUGCUUUUCAACGAAAUUUACUUGAUAGCUUUUUUUUUGUGAUAGUUCUUCUCCAUGUGUCCAAAUUUCUUAAUGUUGAUAUUUUUGUGAUACCAAUAAUCUUUCUCCAAGUGACUUGACUUCUUGGAGAUUCACACGGAGGAUAUUCAUCUUGAUUGGACUUAGAGAAAAUUCAAGAAUUUUCUUUAAUUCAAGAAAUUUCUCCAUCUUUUUUACUCCACUCUCUUUAUUCUAAGACCUUGAGUUUUGAUUGAAAUUAAUUUUUGACAAAGUUAUCAUUAUACAGUUUCAAACUUUGUUCAUAUGCUUCCACAUAGCCUAUUAGUAUACUCAUUCACAAGGUAGAUAAAAUGUUGAUUUAUUCUUGUAGUCACAAUUUGUGCCAUAUUUAUGAGGAAUAGAAAUUAGAAUUUUCUCAACAAUUUUCUUGUCAAGAAUAUUUUUUCCACAUCUCUCAUUUGAUCGACUAUUUCGUUUAUUCUAGAAUAGUAAUCUUUAAUGGUCUUAGACUCCAUCAUAUUUAAUAACUCAAACUCAUGUCUUAGAGUUUGAAGUUUAAUUACCAUUGCAAUUUCUUGAAAUUUUUCUUGUAAUGUGCUCCACAUCUCUUUCUAACAUCCAUUAUUCUUGUAAAAAUUACAUCCACCAUUACUUUUUGUAGAAAAUAUAAUGUCCUUACAUCUUUCUACUUAUUUUCCUUCAACUUCUUCCUCAGAGCACUUGUAGGAGCAGCACCUUCAACAAUCUCCCAUAAAUCUUGAGAGCAAAACAAAUGUCUUCAUUUUGAUGUUCCAAUAAUCAUAAUUUUCCACGAUAAAGACAUGUACAAGAAUAGGUGAAUAAGGACUGAUAUUAUCCAUUGGUUAGAAAAUUUUUGGUAUUGAUAUGGAAUAUAAUAAGAAAGUUUUAUGGAAAUAGUUGGUUAUUAUAACUGCAUCUAAUAGACUACUAAACAUAACUCUAAUACCACCAUUAGAAUUUUAAGAGAGAGACAUGCAGAGGGAUGUAUAACAAUGUACUAAAUAUAGGUUAUUAGAGAUGACAAUGUCAAUCAACCUGUGAAAAACUUAAAUGUUAUGAUUUACUAUUUACUGCAAGUAAAUAAGAAAAACAUACUAUAAAAAAAAUAUUAAAGUGAACCAUGAACUAAAAUCUUGAUUAUAUUUGUAAUAUAUAAUAUUGAUAAAAUAGUGAAUAAAAAUAUCUAUUUAUAUUCAACAUACAAACAAUACUAUAUAUCAAUAAAAAAUCCAAAAAAAAUAAUAGGAUUGCGGAAUUGGACGAGUCAACUCACACAUUACUCCUUACAAGAUAUGUAAAACGAACUUAUGAAAGUUUCUUACAAGAUAAAAACGAACUUAUGAAAGUUAGAUGAAUAUAUUGUCUUUUUCGAUUUUUUUCAUAACAAAUUACUAUUUAACAACAUAGUUCUCUCACAUCGUCAUCCUUAUAGAUAGAAGAUAACUUUUAUAGUAAUAUAAAAUUUUCUUUAUCUAGAUGCUAAGAGAAUUAUUCUACACAUAAUAUAUAUUUUUUACUUUUAUAUUGUUCUGGUAUUUCUAGGAAUUAUUAAUUCUAAUAGUUUUUAGGAUUUUUAUUGUUCUUAACUUUCUAAAAAUUUGCACAAUAAUUUAACAAGAAACAAUGACUGUAAAAUAUAUACCUAGGGAAUUGAGAAUUCACUAUUUCCUUUUGUCCAUACUUCCUCCAUGCAUGAUUGUCAUCAGUAGUGCAAGAUAGUUUAGUCCAUGUGAGUGCACUCUUUCUACACAACACCAAUUCAUUCAUGAAUUAAUUGAUAUCAAAUAUAUACAUACAAUCCAUCAUACUAUAACAUCAACACUAUAAACUUCACCAGUGAUAAAUUACAAGAAACCCUUUUGGAUCUGAACCUAACAUCAACAUAUAGGAAUACUAAUUAUGCAGAAAUUCUUUUAUAUAUAUAUAUAUAUAUAAACCUAAAAUUUUCAUAAACCAAAAAGUUCAGUCAUGUCAACAACCAUACUCUUUAUGUCCGUACAUUCGUACACCUCCCAAAUCAUCAAAUUUCUGGGUGAUUAUCACAAAGGCCAAGGAAAGAAGUGUAUGUGUGGCAGGAAGUGAACCAAAAAAACCCUUUGUCACUGCAAGAAUAAACCCUAUUUAUAAAUAGAAAGAGAGAUUGUUGAGAAAGAGAAUAUGACAUGUUAACCUUCUACUGUAGCGACCUCUUCCACCCUUUUGCGAUCUCUUCUCACUGCAAUCUCCAGAUGUUGGACAGUUGCUGGAACGGGGCACAGACCACCCAUUUUCGCCGGAAAGCAGGAGAUUCUGAUAACCCAGCCCAUCUGCAGAACCAGGUAGCAAAGGAGAAGAGUUGAUAACAGAAAGAGCUUGUGUGAAAGAUGUGAGCACCUUGGCUAUGAGGUGAUGCGAAGAGAGAGAGAGAUCAGUCUCAAAGGGGUUAUGAAGCAGAACUCUGAGUUGAGUAGCAGCUUCCUGACCCUUAACAAGCUCUUCCAUUAUUGCUCUCUUCUUCUGGGGUGAGACACUUUCAGUUUCAGGACAAAGGUUCAUUUUCAUUUUCUGUAAGCCUGAGGUUGUAGCUUUUGCUUUUUCUUGAUGUUUUGUUUUAAUCUUUUUGGUUUGUUUGUCUUGGUCUGGAUUUGGAUAGCAAGUGGCUAAGGUUAGAGAAAGAGACAAAACAUUAAAUGAACUUUAUGUAUAACACUGCAAACCACAGUUAGUUUAUGUGAAAUAAUCAGAAAGUUUUUCAUUAAAUAAAAUAAUUUUAUUUUCUACACAUAAAAUUGGCAUAUCAGUAUUAUCAUUAAGUUAAAAAAAAAUAGAUAAGAAAAGGAGAAGAAAAAAGUUAUUAUGAUAAAUUCUUAGAAAUUAUGAAAAAUUAUAUUCACACGUUUCACAAAAUUUGACAAUUAAAUUCAUAUAUGAAAUUACAGACUUUUUAAGUUAACAAAAUAUAAACAAUAUCUUUCUAGUCUUAUCAUAAUACAAAUAUUUUUUUCUAAUUUUUUCUCUCCGUUGAUAAACCCUAACUUGCCUUUCUUUCUUCUUUCAAACGAAAUUGGUAAGUAUUUUCCUUUGGCUCUUUUUUCCGUUUUCCAACAUUUCAGUUAAACCAAUUGGAAUCUGAAAUUACAAAUGUGGAUUUUUAAAAUUCUUCAAAAUUAAUUGUGAAAAGGUUAAAUGAUUCUCAUUCAUAAUUUUAUAAUAAAAUUAAUUUAUAUAUAUAUAAUUUAAAAACAUAUUUAUGCGUUGGUGUAAGAAUGGUAUAGUGUAUAUAAAUAUAAUCAAAAUAGAAUAAUUAAUAUUGUUAUUAUACGUUAAAAGAUUAUUUUUAUAUUAAAUUUAAACCUUGCAAUUGAAGUAAAUGGUUCAGUAUUUUAUUAUCUUGAUGCAUUUGAUUUGACCCAUCACUGAAGAAUCCACUAGUGAUUUAUUGCACAAGUAACUAAGGAUGACGUAUUGGUUGUGACGUCUACAUGACGUCAUGUUUUCUUAAAAUAAAAUAAAAUAAAAUGAAUAAAUAUGGAUUGCUAUUUCGAAUAUUGCCCUAUCGUACUUCUUAUGUCAGAAGGGUCAAAUAAUAAAUAUUAUUUUUAUGUAAUUAACCAAAAAAAAAAUUAAAAUAACUUUAGUUAAGUAAGUAAACUUAUUUAUACAUUAAAUAUUUAUUAAAAUUUUCACAUUAAAUAUAAAUAAUUACAUUUAAUAAUAUAUGAAUGAAUAUAAAUAAUCUUAUAAAUCAAAUUUUAUCAACUAAAAUUAAAUAAAAUUUAAAAUCCACUUUUUUUAAUAAUAUUGAAAUACAAAAUUUUAAUAUCUAAUAGAAAGAUUUUUAUCACAUUCUUUUAACUUCACAUGGUAUAAUUUGUUGCAUUAGAGAUGUUUUUUUAAUAUAUGAUAUUUGUUUACUUUUAUUUUAUUUACUCUGACACAUUACUUUUUGUUUUGAGAAGACAUGCUUAUUAUACCAAUAGAACACAAUAGUUUUAGAAUGAAAAAAAUAAAUCAUAUUAUAUAAUAUGUAUAAAAUAUGACUAUAUCAUAUAGUAAUUACUUUAUUACUAAAAAAACAAAAUCAAUUAAAAAAAAUAGUUACUAUAGUAAUUAAAUUAGAAAUCAUUCUAAAAACUAAAAAAAAUAAUUUUUAAAUUAGUUUUUAUUAUUGUUAAAUGGUUUCUAAAUUGGUAUUUAAUUAGCUACCAAGUUUUAAUUACCAAUUAUUUAGUUUCUAAAUUUCGUAGAAAAACCUUGUUUGUUAAUUAAAUAUCAAUUUAUAAAUCAUUUAAUAAUAAUAAAAACUAAUUUAGAAACUAAAAAAUUUGUAGUCUAUAAAAUGGUAUCUAAUUUAAUCACUAUAGCAACUAAUUAUUUUGUCACUAAAAAUUAGUUUUUAUUUCAUGAUUUUCUUGUAGUGAUUUUAUUCAAUUAUAUACCGAUUGACCAAACUUACCCAAUAAAAAUUACCAUUGCAUUAUUUUUAAUAUUUUUGUAUCAUUUUUCAAAAUUAAAAUACAUAUGAAUUAAUAACUUUUUUGCAUUUUCUUUUCUUUUCCAUCCUUUCAUUACACUUUUCGUUACAAACCAUUAAUAGAGUAACACUAUGAGCUAGAUGUGAUGAGUUAAUGUCAUCUAUAUUAAACUAAAAUGUUAUUUAAAAAAAAUGGUUUAAAAAUAAUUCUAUAAAAUGUAUUUAAAAUAAGUUUUUUCAACAAAGAUUAAGCUUCUUGCCAGUUUCAUUUUUUGUGUGUUUUCAUCUCCUAUUUAAAUAUGAAAUAAUGCUUUAAUAAAUACUAAAUGAAAUAACAUAUCAAAAGAAUGAUGAGUGACAAAUCGAAUUUCAUCAUUUUAAAAUAUUUAAACAUAUUAUUGAAUUGAUUUUAUUUUAUUUUCUAAAUGUUUUUAUAAAACAACUUAAAUUUAUUAAAUUUUCUUUUUUAUUUGUAAAAAAUAUUUCAAUUAUUACUAAAAAAAAUAUCAAACAAUUGUUAAUAGUUAAUAGAAUAUCAAUAUCGAUAUCAAAGUUCGUAAAAAAAAAUCAAUUAAUAUUGAUAAUUUUUUUCCUAGAUUAACUUUCACUAAAACUAUUUUUAAUUGAAGUUGAUCACAAUUAUUUAGGCCAAUAUUGAUAUGAUUAUUUUACAAUAAAUUACAACGUUAUUGUUUAGGUUUUUUUCUUAUCCUAUUCUAUAAUCGAUGUUUGUUGAACAAUUUUUCCAACUUCUAUUGACAAAAAAAAAACUAUAUAUCCUAAUUAGUAUUGAUAGAAAGUUUUCUAGUAAUAAUUCAAAUAAAAUACUAAAAAAAUAUUUGUGUUGAUGAUAAAAAACUAAUCACUACAAAUAUAAAAAGAAAACACAACAAAGAUUAAUAAAAAAUAUAACCCAUGCAUGGUAGAACAUAACGAACAUAACCGAAGUUGAACAUGAGAACUUGCACUUCACUAUCCUCUCAAACCCCAACCACAAAAUCUAAGCUUUGGUUAAUGCAAUGCCUCAACUCUGCCAAAACCAUUCAUCAUCUAAAACAAACCCAUGCUCUUUUUCUCAAGCUCCUCUCCCCACAAUCACCCCAUCAUUACCAUUAUUUCAUGGGUCGUUUCUUAUACCGAGUUCUUCAUUUACCUACCGAAAACGUCAAUCUUUGUUAUGCUCGCCAACUGUUUGACACAAUGCCAAACUGUCCCAAUAGCUUCCUUUGGACCUCCCUCAUCCGAGCAUUCCUAUCCCAUCGUGCCCAUAUACUCCAUUGCAUUUCUACCUAUGCUAGAAUGCAUCAAAAUGGGGUUUUACCAUCCGUUCUCACCUUCUCUUCAGUACUUAGCGCGUGUGGGCGAGUCCCGGCCUUGUUUGAAGGAACACAAGUGCAUGCCAGGGUGGUGCAGUCAGGGUUUCUGGGAAACAAGAUUGUGCAAACUGCACUCCUUGACAUGUAUGCAAAAUCGGGCUAUAUAAUUGACGCACGCGAUGUGUUUGAUAGGAUGGAUGACAGGGAUGUUGUUGCUUGGACGGCGAUGAUUUGUGGGUAUGCUAAGGUAGGAAUGAUGGUUGAUGCACGGUGGCUCUUUGAUAAUAUGGGAGAAAGGAAUUGUUUUACUUGGACUACCAUGGUUGCUGGAUAUGCAAAUUGUGAAGACAUGAAAGCUGCCAAGGAACUGUAUGAUGUAAUGAGUGACAAGAAUGAGAUCACUUGGUUUUCAAUGAUAGCAGGUUAUGGUAAGUUAGGUAACGUGGAGGAAGCAAGAAGAGUAUUUGAUGGAAUACCGGGGCUGCAGUCUGCAUCUGCUUGUGCUGCAAUGCUUGCUUGUUAUGCACAGAAUGGAUACGCAAAGGAAGCUAUUUACAUGUAUGAGAAAAUGAGAGAAGAGGAAAUCAAAAUCACUGAGGUGGCAAUUGUGGGGGCUAUGUCAGCUUGUGCACAACUGAGGGAUAUUAGAAUGUCAAACACACUAACAGACCAUCUUGAGGAGGGUUUCUGUGGUAAGUCCUUCUGUUAUUGGUUGUCUGUUAUUAUUCUGUCGAUAUGUUUCACACACUAACCUCUGUCCUUUUGCUUGAUUUGGAACCCAUUGUUAUUUUAUCUCAGAUAGAACACAUAUUGUUUCCAAUGCAUUGAUCCAUAUGCACUCAAAAUGUGGAAAUAUAAACUUAGCACUGAAAGAAUUCAGUAUGAUGAGAUACAGGGAUAUGUAUGCCUACAGUACAAUGAUUUCUGCCUUUGCUGAGCAUGGGAAAUCACGAGAUGCUAUAACCCUUUUCUUUAAAAUGCAAAAGGAAGGAUUAAAGCCAAACCCAGUUACAUUCAUUGGUGUCCUCAAUGCUUGUAGCUCUUCUGGUCUUGUUGAAGAAGGUUGUAGGAUUUUCCAGAUUAUGACUGAGGUAUUUGGUAUUGAGCCCUUACCUGAGCACUAUACUUGUAUAGUCGAUCUCCUUGGGAGGGCUGGGCAACUAGAAAGGGCAUAUGAUCUAAUAAAGGAGAAUGCAACCUGUGCUGAUGCAACAACUUGGAGCUCUUUAUUGGCAGCUUGCCGGCUUUACGGCAAUGUGGAUUUGGGUGAGAUUACAGCCAGACAUCUCUUUGAGAUUGACCCUGACGAUUCUGGAAAUUAUGUGCUUCUAGCAAACACUUAUGCAUCAAAAGAUAAAUGGGAGCAUGCACAAGAGGUUAAGAAGUUGAUUGGUGAAAAGGGAAUGAAAAAACCUUCAGGUUAUAGUUUGAUUCAGUGAGCAAUCAAGGAACAGUGUAAAGAAGAAGCACUUUGAUUAACCAGUGUAUCCUCUCAAUCAACAUAAUGAUGUUCUCCUGAUCACUUUUGUACUGGUCAACAUUGUUGAAGGUUUUUUCAGUAAUUGCUGAACAAGCUUUGAAUUCCCAGCUUUAUUUUCUGAGACAUGCAUCCAAGAUAUAUCAUCAUGUUGGUCUACGACCAUUUAGUCAUGAAGCCAUUAAGCAAAGCUGUUAAUCCAUCAUAGAACCGAAACGAGUUUCUUGUGGCUGUUGUAUUGGCCUCAAGGUGCAAAUAUUAAGUUCUCUACUCUGCAGAAUUUGUAUGCCGGGGAAGAGGAUGGGGAUGGGGGAGUAUAGGAUAUGUCACAAAAUGGGGACUCUACACAGGAUAUUUACUAAAGAUAUCAUGGACAAUGGUGGAGACAGGAUCCACAUUACUUUGAAAUGCAGGUGUUGUUUUGGGGGGAGAUGGUUAUAAUGGUUCUGUGUAGGAGUUUUAUUUGGUUGCUUUGAGUAAUAACCAUCAACAAACAGAUAUAUGGACAAAGAUAAUUCAUAACGGAAAGCAAACAGGAGGAUCUUCUCCCUAAAAAAUGGAAUUACCACCCAAUGUGGCAUGCAAGGAACACCAGAGGGCUGAGAGUACUCAAUUCCUCUCAAUCUGACGCAAUGCUUGUUGGCAAAAAAGCAGCAGCAAAUGUUUCUUACAUUCAGGUAGAUUCUUUUCCUUGUGCAGUAUCUUUCUUCUGCUUAUAAUUUCUGAUUUCUCUUUAUUAUUUUCUCAAUAACUAUAGUAGGAUCAAUAUUUUUGGUACAUAGGUUGUUAAAUAACUUCAAGGAAAUGAAGUUAUCUAUUGAAGGUUCGAGAUAUUAGUAAAAGAAGAGUUAUCUAUGAAAUAUAUGAAGGCGAAGUUGCUUGUUUAUUAUUGCUCGAAGAAGAUAUUAUAAUAAAAAAAGUGUAUUGGUUGGAAUUUUAUGUUGAACGUGUCAAUCCACAAAAGGUGAUAAGUAAACCUUCACAUAAUUGUACCGUAGAAUUUCGUGUAAAUAAAAUCUACAUAUAGGUUUUCUUAAUUAUAUUAAACUCUGUAAUGUCCAAGUUGGAAAUGGCAAAAAGUAAAAUGAUUUUACUCGUGUUUUUUAUCACUAUUUAUAAUUCAUAUUGUUUUAGUGUCUAGUUUUAUUUUUAACAUUUAUUUCACUAAACUUAACUACUUAAAAAAUUAAAUUGUUUGUUUGUUUAUUCAUCUUUAUAAUUGUAAUUUAUUACUUUAGUUUUCUUGGUCAUUCUUGGGUUUUCUCAAUAUAAGGAGUAGAUUAUAUGUUAUCUGAAAAAGUUAACAUAUAUUAAAAUGUUGUCAAUUUUUAAAUUAAAAAUAAUAUUUCAUUGUUAACAUAUAUUAAAAGAACAGAAUAAUUUUAUUCAUUUUAUUUAAAUUAUUAUUUAUCGGUUGUAAUAGUUUCAUAGAAACUUAAGUAUUAUCCAAGGUAAGAACAUGUUUGCAUGUAUGUCAUAUCUUCCAUAUUUGGUUCUUACUGUAGAGUAUAAGUAGAUUCAUGGAGGGGAACUAUCUCAUCUCUUAAACUCAAACCCCAUAUAAUAUUUAUUCUAAUACUCAAACAUAAAUUAAUAGCAUAUAUGCAGAAACUUAUUCAAAUUCAACAUAAAAUUUUUAAAACAUAAUUAAUAGCAUUUAUCAUCAUAUAUACUUAAUUAGUAAAAUUUUGUCAAUUUUAAUUAUAUAUAUAUAUAUAUAUAUAUAUAUAUUCUAAAGUCCCUUAAAGAUUUUUAUUUUAUUUUUUGAUACAUUGAAAGGACAAAUAUUCUAUUUUUUCGUUCAAAACAUAGUUGUCAAAUAGUAUUGUGCAAAUUAUGAUAUUUAUGAAGUUGGCUCUGAAUAAUAUCUUGAAAUUGUCUUUAUUACAAGGAAAAUCGAUGAGAUCAAAUGUUUUUAAUUAUUUUCACAAAAAAAAUGCUUUUACUUUUAGAUAAUUUCUCGAUACACUUGUGUUAAAUAUAUAAAUUUUCUGUUAAAAGAAAAACAAAUAUUGCUUGCGCACAUAGUUAUUUUAAGAAAAAGGUUUCAAAUCAUUAUAGAAUUUUCUUGUUUCAGUUGUAUUAUAAGAAAAUCACCAAAUAAAAAUUAAUUUUAGAUACCUAAAUAAUUUAUUAUUAUUUAACUAAAUUAGAAACUAUUUUAUAAAUUAAAAAAAUUAUUAGUGUCAAAAUAGUUUCUAUUAUUAAUAAAAAUUUAUAAAAUAAUUUUUAAAUUGAUAUUUAAUCAUUAGUUACCAAAGUUUUAACUAAUUGUUUUGCAUUCUAAAUUAGUCUCUAUUAGUCUUUUAGAGACUAAUUUAGAAUCUAAAAUAUUAGUAGCUAAAACUUGGUAGUUAAUUUAGAUACUAAUUUAAAAAUUAUUUUAUAGAUUUUUAUUAAUAAUAGAAAUCACUUUAGAUAUAAAUAAUUUUUUAGUCUCUAAAAUAAUUUAGUCAAUAUAGUGACUAAUUAUUUUGUUGUCUCUAAUUUUGAUUACUAUUUAAUAAUUUUCCUAUAGUGUUGAUUUGUCACAUUGAUUUUAUUUUUCUUAUUUAAAAUAUGUUUUUAAUUAAAAGUCUUUACUAUUUUUUUUUUUGAAACAAUAAUAGUGUGGGAUUAAAAAAAAAGUUAAAAAACAAUACAAACACAUAAUACUUAUAAUAUUAAGAAAAUUAAAAUAAAAUUAUUGUAGUGGUAAUCACCCUCUCAGACCAACAGCUAGUUAGGUUUCCUUGAUUAAUGGUAUAAUAAUUAUAAUUUGACUUAAAAAAUUAGCAUUUUCUUACCUGUGCCAAUGGUGUUCUAAAUACAUAUUAGAGCAUUUGCGAUAUCUUCCCUUAAUAUAGUGACUUAAUCACUUUUAGUUAAUUUUUUCUGGCAUUAACCGCUUUUCUACUAUAAAUUAGUUUCUAAUUGUGCUUUCUAAUAUUAACUCUCCUUUUUACAAAAUUAUCUUACUUAAAUUAGUUUAUUUGUGAUGUUGUCUUCUUUACCAUAAAGAUUAUCACACUUGCAACAAAACAAUAAGCCAGUGAAUCAUUUGUUCUGUUCUUAACAUCGUAUUCUAAAUAUAGUAGUUCUAAUUAUAAUAUAUAUAUGUCUUUGAUGUUUGUUUGCCUUCUGUUCAUUCACUACAUUCAAUUUAUCUUUCUCAUUAACUAUUGAAUAUGUUCUAAGGAUUUAAAUUGAGUUCGUGAGAUGGACGUGGAUACAUUGUUUGCUUCAAUUAAUCAGAUCAAUGUUUCUGAUCAUACUGCGGUAUGUGAUGUUUGCCUUCACACUCCACCCAAUAUUGCAUCAGAUGGCAUAUGGGGAAGACAUACCACAGAAGGGUCACCUUUAAAGUCAUCUAUGCCAGUAUUUCUACUCCAAGUGAUUUUGAUUUAUACUAUAACAAGAAUUUUGAAUUUCCCUUUAAAGAAGCUGGGUUUUCCUGCCCUUUUUUCACAAUUGAUGGUAAGUUCUCUCCUCAUAGUGUAUGCUUUACUAAAUAAUAGGCUUCCUUAUUCCAUUGCUGCAAUUGAAGAACAAUAAAGGAUUGGUUUAUUAUAAAGAUGGUUAUGGAAUCUUGAAGCAUACAAUAUAUAGGAAAAUUAACAUAGAGCAGAUUUGGAUUGAUCAACAUCUGUAAUAUGUCUAACAAAAUGAAUUAUCUUUAUUUGAAGGCUGGGCUCAUUCUAGGACCAUCUUUGGGUAUAUGGGAGAAAGAGAAGACAAUGUUGUUUCCUUAUGGAAGUCAAGAUACACUUGCUACUAUAGCAUCACUUGGUUAUAUGAUAUUUGUCUUUGAGAAUGGUGUAAAAAUGGAUUUUAGCAUGAUCACCAGAACAGGAAGACAAGGAUGGAUCAUUUCCCUUUUGGGGUUGCUAUUUCCUCUACUAAUUUGUUAUCCAUCUUUAGAAUACAUUUCACAACUUACAACCCAGGGUAUAACAGACAAAGUGCAUUCAACUGUUGUUUUAUUGAUGACACAGAACAUGACUUCAUUUGCAGUGAUUGCUUCUGUCCUCGAUGACCUUCAAAUCCUAAACUCUGAACUCGGAAGAUUGGCAUUAUCUUCUUCACUGGUGGGUGACACGCUAAGUAAUAUUCUUGUAGUUGUAUUGGCAGCCUUUGAUAGCAAGAAAGAGAAUGGACAUGGUAUAAAUGUGGUUUUCCUUCUUGCCGUAAUAAUCAUCAUUUUCUUUGUCUAUCGGCCCGCAAUGUUCAUGGUGAUUGAGCACACACCAGAAAGCCAAGAAGUGAAGGAUGUUUACAUUAACGUUAUCAUUGGGUUUCUCUUUGUUUUGGGUUGGUCCUCACUGCUCUUCGAUAUAGAAUUCAUCCUUCUACCUUUUCUUUAUGGAUUGGCUACACCAGAUGGACCUCCAUUAGGAUCUUCAUUAGUUAAAAGGAUUCAUACUUUUGGUUUAGAAUUUCUUAUGCCAAUCUUCGUGACUACAUGUGCAAUGAAGAUGAAUUAUUCCUUGCUAGUGUUCACAUCACCAAUAUUUCUCAGUUCCGUCCUUAUGAUCCUUAUGGGUCAUUUCAUGAAAAUUAUAGCUUACAUAGCAUCUUCACUCUAUUUCAAGAUAUCACUAAAGGAUGCGAUGGCUCUUGCCCUCCUUCUAGAUUGCAAAGGAGUUGUGGAAGUAGCCAUGUAUAGCUCUGCAUUGGACAAAAGGGUACUCCUCUUUCCCCCUUUCUAUUCAUUUAUUCACCUAUCUAUUUAUACUUGUGUAAAAGAAACAUACCAUGUGAAAGUUGAAUGAGACAGUAAGAGAUUGACUCUUCAAACACUCAUGAUCUCAUUAGAUAGUUCAUUAAGUAGAAGUGCUUUAGAUGGCAAAUCAAAAUUUCUUCUAGCUUCUUUUCUAAACCGUUAAUCAAAUUUUAAAUUUCAUUUUUGACCAAAUACUUAUAUGCAGGACAUCCAACCUGCACUUUAUACAGUGGUUAUAACAAUGAUCAUGAUCUCAAAUACUGUUUCUCAAUUGAUGGUGAAACGUUUGUAUGACCCUUCAAGGAAAUAUUUUGGCUACCAGAAAAGGAACAUUUUUGAUUUAAAAUUUGACUCGAAUCUCCGGAUCCUAGUUUGUAUUCAUAAACAGCAUCACACAAUACCUAUAAUGUCAGCUCUUGAUUUAUGUAAUCCUACACCAUUAUAUCCAACCUCUGUGGAUGUUCUGCAUCUGAUUGAACUAGUAGGGCGUUCCACCCCAAUUUUCAUUUCUCACAAGAUGAAGAGAGAUGUUCCUUCUCAUGCAAGAAACUCCUACUCGGAGAAUGUAAUCCUUUCCUUCAAACUCUAUGAAGAUGAAAAACUAGGUGCAACAACAAUAUACCCUUACACAGCAAUAUCUCCACCUAAAUUGAUGCAUGAAGAUGUGUGCUUCCUUGCAUUGGAUAAAGUUGCAUCAAUCAUCAUUCUUCCUUUUCAUAGAAAAUGGUCUUUUGAUGGAAAAGUUGAUCACGAGGACAAGACAGUGAGGCUACUGAAUUGUAAGGUGAUGGAGAAGGCUCCAUGCUCGGUUGGAAUAUUAGUGACUCGUUUUGUUCGUAAAAAUGAUUCACCACUUCGAUUAGCCAUGAUCUUUUUGGGUGGAGAUGAUGAUAGAGAGGCUUUGUACUUAGCCAAUCGAGCAGCCCAAGACAUUGCUAACGUUAACCUUGUGGUGUAUCACAUUACAGGUGAAAACAAUGAUGAAAAUGAAAACGAGGACAUUAUGCUUGAUCGAACAAUAUUAAAAGACUUCAAAAGGGAAUCUUCUCGUUUGAAAAAUAUUGUUUAUAAGGGAAUAAUAGUGGAGGGUGGUGCCCAAAUAGCUUCUGUUCUUCAACAAAUGACCGAGGAUCAUGACUUUUUUAUAGUUGGCAGACGCCAUGGUAUUGACUGUCCUGAAACAAAAGGGCUUCAACAAUGGAGUGAGUUUUCAGAGUUAGGCCUCAUAGGUGAUUUUCUUGCUUCUACAGAUCUUGAUUGCAAAUCCUCUGUUUUGGUCGUGCAACAACAAAACUUUUACCAUUAAUAAUAAUAAGCAUUUUUGUUGCAUCAAAAACAUCAAUUUAACUAUUGUGUCUCCAAAUAUAGUUAUAUGUUGCAUGUGAUAAGUUAUAACAAUUGCGUGUAAUCAUAAAACCUUCUAUGACGAUCUAAUGUUCAUAACAUGUUUAAUAAAGGAAAAAUCAUUUACAACGCGAUUAAGUUAUUUUUACUUAUAAAAUUAACCAUAAAUGGUAAUUACAUUGCUAGUUAUUGCUACUUUUAACCAGUUGUUCAAAUACAUCAUUAAUGCACGAAUUAAUGAUAUUUGAAAGAUGAAUAUAAUUAUACAUAAAAGACUUUCAGUGAAAUAUAUGAAAAUAAUUUACCUCAACUAAUUAGAAUGUUUACAUCAUGAUACUAAAGGAAGGAUAUAUAUUAUACGUGAUAUUAUAUACAUUGCAUAUAGUUUCUCUAUUUAAAUUUGUACUCGGACGACCGAGACAAUGCAAGUGGGCUGGUCAGGAACUUGACCAUUCGGCUGCAUAACCAUAAUGAGAAGGUCACACGACAGCACGUGACCGACCAACCCAUGACGGUGAGUCAGGGUUGACCAAGUCAGCAUGGUUAAUCCACAAUUAAGGGUUGUUUAGCACAACUCUAACCAUGAACCAACCCCCUAAUCCGGUCCACCAACAAAGGCCCAUUAAGGUAAUAUAAAUAGCACACAUUCCAAGAACCAGGUACGUCAUUAUCUAUAGUACUCUGACACCCGAGUGCCGACACCCUAACUAACUUGAGCGUUGGAGUGUCUUAUGUAGGUACCACCCCCGUCUGUGGAGCCAGACGAUCGAGAGGAGGAAGGAGAAACAAGAAGCUUGGAGUGUUAGUGAUCUACCGAAGACAGAGCCAGAAGGAAUCGUUCUCUAGGCCCCGAACCCGUUCGAGAACAAAAUUAAUUAUAAAACAAAAGAAAACAUCGACAUGAGAAGACACAAAUUUCUACGCACAAGUUAAAUCUAAUAAUGUUGUAUAUUAAGAUUCAAAGAUUACAGUGUCAAAAUUACAAAAGGAAUAUAUCCUGUCCAUAUUGCUUUUUAACAAUAAUAAUUUGACAGACAAAGAUGUAUGCAGGGACAUAUAUCUAUUACACUCUCAUCUAUGAUAAAUUUUUUCAAAUCUAUAUUUAUGUCUUAGUGGUUGUAUCAGUGGUAGAGAAAAACAUUAUUAUGUCCUUCACAAAGUAAUACCUUUCUAAGUAAUACUUAUUGAAUAUCAAGUUUACAACAACUUUUUUUCAAUAUUAAUUUCUUAUUGUUCGAAGUGACGUUAAAAAAUAUUUGGAAUUUUUAGUCUUAGAGAGAAAUUAAGAAGUGAUAAUCAGGAGUGACUUGAGUAUUCAGUUUAUAGUUUUUUUUUUUAUAGUGAAAUCCUUUAAGAGUUUUUAAAGAAAAACUAGACUUAUCCCAAGCGUUAGGGUGAACCAAUAUAAAUUUUUUGUGUCAUUUUUGUUGUAUAGACAAUUCAUUCUUAGAGUCUAGUGUUUGUACAAAAAAGUUUUGUUUUCUAUUUCAUUUUUGUUGUAUAGGCAAUUCAAUUUUAGAGUCUAGUGUUUGUACAAAAAAGUUUUGUUUUCUAUUUCAUUUUUCUUCUAGAGUUUUCUUGUUACUUCAAUUGAUCUCAUUACUCACAGAGAGGGUCUGAACCAUUGUUUAAUAAAUAUGAUGAAUAGGUAGAUUUUAAUGAUUUAUAUUUAGUUAUUAAAGCUUAUAAUGAAAUUCCUAUUUUUAGAUAUUUAAAAGUUUUCAAAAUGGUUAAAAAAAUAUUUGAAAACUGUGACUAAAGAACUUAAAGUGAAAAAAUGAAAAAUUGUAUGAAUAGGACCAGUUUGAAACGAAAUCAUGAAAAUUAGGGUUCAACUCUUGAAAAACUUAAAAAAAAAAUUGAUAUUAAGAAGCAAAAAUGUAGAGAAAAGUUUAUCCUCAAAUGUUUGUAAAAUAGUAUAUAAUCUACUGGCUGAAAAUGCAACACUAAGAAAGGUCAUUUCCCAAAUUGAGGUGGUCAACAAAAGACUUGAGCUUUUGAUAAGAACAUCAAGAAAACUUUAUGGUAAAGUAGGAAUUGACUAUGAAGAAAAUCUGUCUCCUAAAAAUCUCAUGCAUCUUUUUAUCAAGCAUUGCAUUGUGGUAUUCCUAAAAAGGAACCAUAUAGAAAAACUAACAUAAAAUGAUCCAAGUUCAUUUGGUACUUUAGAUAAAAAAGAAUACCUAUUGUAGAUAUGUUUAUUACUAGCAAGCAAACACUUAUCAUAGUAAUUGGACAAUAGGUGUUCACGAUACAUAAAAGGAGAAAAACAUGUUUCCUACUCUUGAAACCAAGAAUGGAGGAAUAAUGUUUGAAGCAGCAAAAAAAGAAUACUAAUUGAAGUUGGUCUAAUAGGUAUGAAACUUUUUCCUUCAAUUAAUAAUGUUAUUUUACUAUACCGUCUAAAGCAUAAGCUUUUUAGCACAAGUUAAUGGUAUGACAAGAUAUAAUGUUUUCUACAAAAACUAAUUUAUAGUCAAGAUUGUGAUGGAUUAUGUUGUUUACCGCCAAUAGACAAGACAAUCUAUGUAAGGUUGAAUUAGACAUGUUAUCGCCUCAUAAUGUCUUGAGCUCAUAAAAUAAGAUCAUUUAGUCUAACAUAGAAAACAUGGUCUUACAAAUUUGAUAUUAAUCUUAAAAUUGCAAAAACAUAACCUCCAAUGGGGUUUGCCAAUAACAACAACAAUCUUUUUUAUGAAACACAAAUAAAAAGAAAACAAGUUAAAACACUUUUCUAAAGUAUGAACAACGUACCAACAUAAAUGUCUCUUGAGAUUAUACACUUGAACUUAUUUAGUCGAAUUAUAAUUACAUUUUUCAAUGGUAAAUAAUAUGGUAUAGUCAUAGUAGACAAUUAUACUAGAUAGACAUGGGUGAAACUCUUAGUUUACAAGGAUGAAUCAUUCAAAAUCUUUUAUAAAUUUUUCAAAUACGUUCAAAACAAAACAAAAAAGUAUAUCCAUUGUUUCAAUUAUAAGUGAUCAUGAUAGCGAAUUCAAAAAUGAAAACUUUCAAGAUUUUUAAGACUUGAGAAGGUGGAUGACUUUUUACAAGAUAAAAUGUAAUUCAAUAAAAGUAAAAACAUAAUUUUAAAAAAUGAAAUCCAAAUGCAAUUAGCUAUCAAAUAUAACUGAAAAAAGUUUAGGGUUUCUAAUGUUUUUCAUUUCAUAUUUAUCUUAUACAUGUGAUUAUAAGAUUUAAGGAUAAAUAUGAUGGACAUUAAAUUUUAUUCUUCAUUUCAUUUAUUAUUUUUUGUCAUUUUUAGACUAUAAGCUUCCUGAGUAAAGAUCCACUAUGAAUUAAAUAAUUCAUUUAAUAUGAAGUUAACAUUUUUCUAUUAAAAAAUAAUCUAUUUGACAAUGGACUAAACCAAUAUAACAAAAUUCAAACAAGAGAUAAGAGCAUAACUUGUAAUAAGAAAAUUCAAUUUCUUGCAUAAUAAUUCUAGAAACUAUAGGAUUUUAUAAAAAAAAAAAAAAAACACUUUUUUUGUGAUUCAAAGGUAAGUUUAUGUAUUUUGUCAUUAAUGCGAGACAGACACAACUUUACUUAGACUUUUAUUGCAUUGAAGUUGUCUCAUUAAAAAAAGACUCUUUAAGUCAUAAAAAAAAGUUAAAAUGAUUUUGGUUCAUUAAGAUGUGUCAUUGUUACUUUAAUUCAUUUUUUACUCAUUAAAGUUGUGUCUAUGUGCAAGCAUUUAGCCUGUCCAUUAAAGCACAACUUAUACACAUUUAACCUAAAAUGGUGUUUAGAGUACAACUUACCUAUUUACAUAAAUUCUUCUAAAUUUAUCCAUAUUUAAUAUUUGCAAAUCAAAUUACACCGUUUGAAAAAAUUGUUUAUUUUUAUAACUUCUUAUGUUAUUGAUAUUUGAAUGAAUGAUUAUGAAUGUCUUAAUUGAUAAAUAGUUAAUACUACAUACACACCUACUAGUCAUGCAAAUAUUCAACUCACUCUUGAAUACAUAAGUUAUAAGUAAGAUUUGAAAGCUUAUAAAUGUAAAUUAUGGUCAUACGCACAAUGUAAUAAUUAAAGAAUAUUUUUUAUUUAAUAAAAUAAUAAUUUGAACUAAUUUUUAAAUAUAGUUGCGUUAUUUAUACUAUUUUUAUAUAUUAAAAAUUCAUUUACAUAUACUUUUAGUCGGGUGUCUCUCCUUAUAUAUAUAGUGCCUAUUAGUAAAAGGAUUUAUAUAAUAUAUGCAUAUGUAAAUAUAAUAGAAACAACGGAAAAAAAAUUACACUACCUUUAUAAACUUAAAUAGUUAUAUAUAUAUAUAUAUAUAUAUAUAUAUAUAUGGGGUCAUAUACUAUCAUCUUAUAUUUAAUAUUUAUGAUUACUAAAUUAUUUCAAAAUAAUAAACUUAAAAACAAUUGUUUAUAUAUACUUUUUUUACUAUUUAAAAAUCAUUUGAAUACAAUAAAAUAAAUAAAUUAAAUAUGUGUACGAUAAUACAUGUCAUCUAAUAUUUAAUAUUUUAAAUAUAAUAAUUUUUAAAUAAAUAUUUUCUUCUAAAUAAAACUAACCACGUAGUUUUUUACUAUUUUCACUUGUUACAUGAUUUGUAAAAAUAUGAAAUAUAAUUCCCGUAAUAUAAGUUAUUAAAAAUUAUAUAGUUUCACUCAAAUAUUAAAAAUAUUAAAAUUUUAAAAACUAUAAAUAUAAAUUCACACUUUUUUGUAAGAAAAUUAUGCAACUUUGAUUUUUUAUUGCGAAUAAAAUGUGUAUAAGUGAGAUUAAUUAAUAUUCUAUUAGAUUAAAAUAAAUAUUUCCACAUAUAUUUUUUGAAGUAACCAAAAACUAUUUUCUUGUAUACAUUUGUUUAUUUAAAGGAGAAAUAAUCUCUUACAACAUUAUAUUAAUUCCGUUGGGACAAUAUGUAUGUACAAAAAUAAACAGAGUGAAAAUAAUUAUUUGAUUAAAUUAAUAGUUAACAUGUUAAAUAGUUUUGGAAUAAUUAUGUUUUUUUAUUACAUUAAAUAAUAUGUUACUUUACAUCACAAAAUUAUAAAUAAUAUUAAAGAGAAAAAACUUUUCCAAAAAUUUAGUAACAUUGGCCCAUGCAGGUCUCGAACCUGCGACUUUCGCGUUAUUAGCACGACGCUCUAACCAGCUGAGCUAAUAGGCCACGUUGAAAAUAAUAAAGAAUAGUAUUAUAAUUGUUCUUUAAUAAUACACUUUGUAUAUAUUUCGAAUAAAAUGGGUACAUGCAAUAAAUGAGUAUAAUAAAAUGGGUACAUUUAAUAAAUAAGUAUAAAUAAAAUGGGUACAUUUAAAAAAUGAAGAUUAUAUUGAUUAAUUUUGAUAAUAUAUUAUUUUAGUAAGUAUAUUAUAAUCCAAAAAAAGUAUCAACAUUAUUUCUUUUGUUCUGGUUUGCAAUUGAAUUCAAAAUUAGGUUUGUAAUAAUGUUUGGUACAACAAAGGAAUCUUAAAGAAAAACAAAGAAAUAAAAGACAUUAGGACUACUUUAUUUGCAUAGGUUCUUGAUGGUUCAAGUUUAUUUUUUCUAAAAUAUAUGUCAACUCGGUUUUGUAUACGUUGCUUCUAAAUUUUGAUCUUACUAUUCUUUGAUAAAAUAAUUCAUAUUUUAAUCAUACAAUUUUUUAAAAAUUAAUGUAUAUUAUUUAAAUAGUAAAAUAAAUUUUUAAAUACAACAAUUUUAAAAGUGUAAUGCAUAUCUUUUUAAUAUUAAUUAAAUCUCAAUUGAAUAAAUGAAAUAUGAUAAAAAAAAUUAUUGUAAUUAUUCACUAUUUGAAGUAAUGUCAGUGUCUAAAUUGUUCUUUCGUAUUUGAUACUUUUGCUUGUUUCUUUAUUUGAAGUCUCAAUUCUAGGGGAGGCUAAAACGGUUUAACCAAAACUGGUUGUGUACUUAUUCUAUCUAUGAGUGGUUGGUGUACUUGUUGUAAUCAAGUGUUUUGAUUAGUUGAAUCUCUUUGAGUAGUUUUUGUAAGGAAGUACUGGAUGUAAUAUGUGAGUUUGGGUGAACCAGUAUCAAAUUUGUUUGUGUUACUUGUGUACUAGUCUAUUUAUCAGUGAGAAGAUUCAAGGCUCCAUUCAAUCCUUCUUCUACAACCAAUUGUUUUUAAGCUUCAAUCAAAUAAAAGGAGGCAUAAUGAGAAAAAAAUGUCCUAUGACUGCCCCAAUGAAAACCUUAAUCCACUCAAUUUUCUCCAAAAUUCAAGCAGACUGGUGAAUAAUCAAUUAGGUGUCUUAAGUGUGGACAAGAUCAUUAUGCUUAAGAUUUUCAUCUUAAACAAUACCAAAACUAGACUAUUCAACAAUGCAAAAUGAUAAAGUGGCAUAGAUUGUUCUAAGAAAGCGUGCAUAUAAUUAUUUAUUCAUGAGACACAUAGUAGAAUUUUUUAUCUGUUAAUUGAACCUUUAUCAAACUUUUAACAAAUUCGAAAAAACAGUAGAGGUACUAAUUGUGGCAAUAACCUAGUAUUAUUUGGCUACUCAAUUUUCUUCCCAAGUAGUAAUGAGAGUAAAAUUAAUGCAAGCAAUCAAAGUACCUAUGUUCGCACCUCCGCUCACACUACCUUCUACUCCUACACCGUUAAUGCCUACACCAGCACCACGACGACCACCCGCAACUUCCUCCUCCUCUUCCAAUGGCUCUAUGUAUUAAGGUGAUUAAAAAACUUACCCACUCCAAUACCUAAAAGCUAACAAUAACUUUGAAGCUUGAAGAAGAGCAAAGUGAGAAAAUUCUUUUACAACAAUAAUAAUAUUGACUAAUUUAUUCUUAUUUUAAAAUAAAGCAAUUGUUCAACUAUUCUAAUUCUUUUUGGAUUAAAUUGUUUUAGUUUAAAUGAAUUGUGUAUUUUUUUUUAUAAUCUCUAAACGGACAAAAAUGUGAAAUUAUCUAUUAAAUAAGCUUUAAUAUAUUUUGAAUUUGUAUUUAAUUCAACGCUAAAUAAAUGAUAUCAAAAGUUUUCGGUUACUCUAACAUUUAAAAAAUUUAGAUUUAAAAGUAAUAAUUUAUUUUGAAUUUUUAGUUCAAAUAAUAACAUAAUAUUAAAGUAUUAUUAUUAUUAUUAAAAUAAACAAUUACAUUUAACAAUUGAAAACAAAUCGGUGGCUAAAAAGUAAACAUAUUCAGUGGUUGAUUUAGUGGCAGAAAUAAGCAGUUACAUUUAGCAGUCGAAAGCAAAUCAGUGGCUAAAAAAUAAACAAAUUUGGUGGCUGAUUCGGUCGCAGAUAUAUUUUUUCGAAUUUAUUCAAAACAACCACCACUUUAACAAUCAAUGGUUUUGUCACUCUCAUGUUCAGUCAUUGAUUCCGUCGUUAAACUAACUAACCUCAUUAAUAAUUCAUUCGGUCACAGAUUUGACAUUGAGGGUAUUCAUUGGCUAUUUCAAUCGUAAAUUGCGACCACUCAUUUUCGGUCACUGAAUUCGGUGACUAAAAUAUUAUUUUCUUGUAGUGAUUAAAGGUAAAACUUUAAUCUUAGAAAAAAAAUCAUUCAUUUAUUUUUAAUGAUUGUGUUCAACACCUUGACUUGUCAUUCUCCUUUCUAGAUAUUAGUUUGGUUGUUUUGACCCCGAGUAAAUAUGUAAUUACCAAUAAAGUAUGUCUACAUUGUCAUUUGUUCAUUGAAAAUAAGAAAUUUAUUGUAAGUUUAAUUUUUAUACCUUUGUCAAAAUUGGAUGUAGUUUUAGUUAUGAACCGAUUAUCUUUCUAAAUUGUGUAGAGAAGUCUGUAGUAUUUUCUAAUUUUAAGGAUAUUUUGAAUUCAUUUACCAACUUAAUAAGUGAGCUUUUAGAAAAUGAAUUUCAAGAUAUUUGUUAUUAUAUUGUAUGGAAGUGAAACGAAGUUAAUUUAAAAAUUUAUAGUAGUUGUUCAAAAUUUUAUUGAAGUUUUUUCGAUGAUAUUCGUGAUUUACAAUCCUAUAAAGAGAUCAAAUUUUUAAUAGAUUUGAUGUUUGAAACUGGACCAAUUUCAAUAGCAUCAUAUAAGAUGUCAUCUUUUGAACUAGAAGAACUGAAGAAACAACUGGAAAAAUCACUUGAAAAAUAAUUCAAUCACCUUGGGGAUCUCCUAUUUUAUUAGUUAAAAAGAAAAAUGAAAGUUUUAGGUUGUGUGUAGAUUAUCGUCAGUUAAAUAAAUUCACUAUAAAAAAUAAAUGCACUUUCUCUAUGAUAGAUGAUAUGAUGGACCGAUUAAGAGAAACAUAUGCAUUAUUGAUAAGUGCCAUGAUUUAGUGAUAUUUUAUGAAAAAGAUAGGCACUUAUGAAUUUUAAUUAUUGAUAUAGUUAUAAUCCAACCUUAAAUUUAGGAAUUUGAAUAUUUUUACUUAUUUUUGGAUUAUGAGAUGAUUAAGAACUAUUUAUUCCCAAGUUUGUGCUAAUUUCAGGAAUUUAGGGGAAGAUGGAGAUAAAGAGCUAAAUGAGGAAUAGAAAAGUUAGAGACAAGGAGUAAAGACAAAGUUGUGGCAUUCAAAAUUCGCCAAGAACUCGCCCAAAUGAGUUUACUCCAUAGGCAAAACUUGCUCUAUGGAGCAAACUCGCCAAGGACUCGCCCAUGCUCACCUAAGACUUUCUUAGAACUCUCUCAGGCUUGCUUAAGCGAGUUUCUCCAGUGAAGUUGGUUUUUAUUCUCGUGAAACUCACUUAAGCAAGCAAUAUCUCGCUUGAGCGAGAUGCCACUUAACCUACAUAAAGGAGGUCGUCGUUAAGGAGAAACAUUCUGGAUCUUUUUUUCUUACUUUCAAUGCUUGUAAUGACCAAUAUGAAUGGCUAAGUCUUCCAUUUGGGAUUGAAAGUAUUUUGUUCAAACUCUUAUGUAUUGAGGUCAUAAUUAUUUAUAAUAUUUUGUUCUUGAUUGAUAUUGGUAUUAUCAUUUUAUUCUUAAAGCUUGAAUCUUUAUUCAUAAUUUUGAUCAUUAGAUUUGACUGAAAAGUACUUAUGAGUAUCUGACCUAAAUGAUAACGUUUAACAUAUUUGAAUGAUAAGAAUAGAUUUGAAAUGUUAACAUAUGUUUGUAAUGAUAAAAAUAUUUUUAUAAAUAUGUGAGGAAUCAAUAUUUAGGAGACAAUCUUAAUAAUUUUAUAUGCGAAGAAUCAAUAUGAAUGAUUUUUAUAUGUGCAUCAAUGUCAAUUAAGUUAGAAUGUUAUAUGUUUUUAUUCGUUGAAAAUACAAACGAGUGAGAAGAAUUAAUCCCAAUCCCAAAUUUCUCAAUUUCAAUUAUCUUAAUCGUUUACUUUGUUUUCAUUUAAUUUAUCACAUAAAUUUAUGAUACCUAUAACCUUUCAAUCAAACUUUGGCACAUCUUUUGAUAUUUAGUGAAUAUUAUACCUUGAGAUUUUAAAAUAAUUGGUUCCUUAUGGGUUCAAUAUUUGUCUUUAGGGACAAUUUAUUAUUUCUGACUCGAUAUACUUGUCGAAAUAAGUCAUCAAUUAUCUAACAUAGAUUUAAGGUCAAAGUAUUAUCAAUUUAGGGUAAAGGCAAAAAAAAUACAAAAAAAUGUAUUAAAGAAUUAAGUAUGGACAUUAUGAAUAUUAAGUGAUGCCUUUUGGUGUGACCAUACUUCUACAGUAUUCAUGGAUUAUAUGAAUAAGAUAUUUUGUCUAUUUUUAGAUAAUUUUGUAGUUGUUUUCAUAGAUGACAUUUGUUGAACUUUUGGCAAGCAUAUUAAAAUCAAUUGCAGUAUAAUAGUUUAAUAGGUAAGAGUUUUGAACCCAUGAAAAACAAAUUUAAUUCAAAUUCAAAGUUUUAUUACCCAAAGUAUAUAUAUAGAGAGAAUAAUGAUGUUCAUGAAGGAUUGAUGGUGAAAAGAACUAAAUUGCAUCUAAAAGUGUAAAGAGUAACAUCAUAAUUUAAUUAAAGAGAUAAGUGAGCAAAACUGGGAUUGAAUUUCAUCUAUCUCAUUCGUUUGUAUUUUGAAUAGUGAGAUAUAUAACAUUCAAAACUAAGUCAUUUAUAUUAAUUCCUCAUAUCGAUUCAUCCAGAUACAGAAGAAAGAGUUCUACUUCUCUAUUGAUUCAAACGUUCUACCUACGAGAUAGGGAUAGAGAAAGAGGAAAAAACCGAGGAUUUCACAUAGUACUUUUGAUCGAAAAAUCGAUCUGAUUUUUUUCAUACUUUUCGCUUAAUGAUGAAAUGAGUCAGAUUCUAUAGGACCAAACCUUGUGGGAGUUAAGAAAUGAUGAAAGAAAAGAAAAAAAAAAGAAAGUAAAUAAAAAUGAAGUAGAAGAGUCAUGAUUUCAAACGAAAAAAUUUAAACUUGAUUGAAAAGGAUCUUU